rnacentral:lncRNA from 1 species
UGUACUUCACCUUCUAAUAAAAAUGAAAAUGAACUUAUUGAUGUUAAUGAACUUGGUAGAAGCAAAAGAAUUAGGAAAAAGAAAGAUUUUGGAUCUGAUUUCUAUACCUUUAUGGUUGAAGAUGAUCCUAAAACAUAUAAAGAUGCUAUGAACUCAUUAGAUUCUAUAUUUUGGAAGGAAGCUAUUAAUAGUGAAAUGAAUUCACUUAUGACUAAUGAAACAUGGUUUUUAACUGAUUUACCACCUGGUAGUAAGGCUAUAGGUUGUAAAUGGAUCUUUAAGAAGAAAUUAAGACUUAAUGGUUCAAUUGAAAAAUAUAAAGCAAGAUUAGUUGCUAAGGGCUUUACUCAGAAAGAGGGUAUAGACUACUUUGAUACGUAUUCUCCUGUGACUAGGAUAACCACUAUCCGUACUUUAAUUGCACUGGCUUCAAUCCAUAAUUUGAUAAUCCAUCAUAUGGAUGUCAAGACUGCCUUCCUCAAUGGUAAUUUAGAGGAAGAAAUUUAUAUGGAUCAGCCAGAGGGAUAUGUGGCUCAGGGACAGGAAAGAAAAGUUUGUAGGUUAGUCAAGUCCCUUUAUGGUUUAAAACAAGCUCCUAAGCAAUGGCAUAGAAAAUUUGAUGAAAUAAUUGUUUCUUAUGGCUUUAAAGUAAAUGAAUCUGAUAAAUGCUUAUAUUCUAAGUUAGAAAAUGAUUCAUGUGUUAUUUUAUGUUUAUAUGUUGAUGAUAUCUUAAUUUUUGGUACUGAUAUGAAUAUUGUUACUGAUAUCAAGAAUUUUUUAUCUAAUAAUUUUGAUAUGAAAGAUCUAGGUCAGGCAGAGGUAAUGCUUGGUAAUAAGAUUACCAGAAUACCUAAUGGUAUAAUCUUUGAUCAAUCACAAUAUAUUGAGAAAAUUUUGAAGAAAUUUGAUAAGUACAACUGUAAACCAGUAAGUACACCUUAUGAGCAUGGUUUGAACUUGAAGUGCAACAAAGGUGAUCCAGUGGCCCAAGAAAAAUAUGCUCAGAUUAUUGGGACACUGAUGUAUAUUGCAAAUACAAGUAGACCUGACAUUUCCUAUGCUAUAGAAAAGCUCAGUAAGUUUAAUAGUUGCCCUAGUCUUAGUCACUGGGAAGUACUGGACAGAGUACUUAGAUACUUGAAAGGUACCAUAUCUUAUGGUUUACAUUACUCAAGAUUUCCCGCUGUACUUGAAGGAUACAGUGAUGCUAGUUGGAUCACUAAUUCAAUGAACCGAAAAGAAACUAGUGGAUACAUAUUCAUGUUGGGUGGUGCAGCUGUUGCUUGGAGAUCAUCCAAACAAACUGUGAUCACCAGAUCCACUAUGGAGGCUGAGAUUGUAGCCUUAGAUUCUGCAUCUCAAGAAGCAGAAUGGUUUAAAAAUCUUAUGUCCGAAAUUCCUAUUAUGGAAAAGCCUAUGCCUGCUAUCUCUUUGUUAUGUGACAAUGAAGCUGCAAUUAAUACUUGUAGAAACACUGAAUAUAACAAGAGAAACAGAAGACACAUUAGUGUGAGACAUAAGACAAUUAGAUACCUAAUUAAAAAUGGUAUCGUGACUUUGGAAUUUGUUAGAUCUGAAGGUAACCUAGCAGAUCCUUUGACUAAAGGACUAGCUAGAAGCAAAGUUAUAGAAACAUCACGGGGGAUGGGACUGAAACCCAUAAGGAAUCAUUGACAAUGGCAACCCAACCUAUUUUGACAGGAGAUCCCAAGACGAAAGGUUCAACGGAAAAAACAAGUUGUUUAAUGAUUAGUUAGCACUAUUAUUAAAAUGACUUUAUGUCAUUUGGUCUCUUCCUAUGAUGUGAGUGCUAAACACAGCAGAGGUAUACGGAAGAGUUAAAAACUCUGAAUGAGUCCGAGUCUAUGACAAGGUGCUGUGCUGUGAGCACCCUUGAAGGAUUCACCUAUGUGAGUGUGACUGUGUGGCUGCAAUCUAUGGGGAUAAGGGUUUAACCCCUACAGCGCUCAUGAAACUGAGAUAUUGGUGCAUGAGGCCGAAAAGCACCACCAUGAUGAACCCAGAAUUUACAUUUGUCAUGGGUGAAGUAUCUGGAAAUCUGAACCAAAGGAUUUGGUUCAAAGCUUUUUAGCUACCACUAUUCCUUUCAGAUGUAAGUAUACUAAAGGUUCAAAGCCGCAAGCUACCUUUACUGAAGUCGUGACAUGAAAAGCCCGGUACGACUAUUUUUUAUAAAAUCUUAAAAAAAUAUUUUAAUCAGGUGGGGAAUUGUUGGAUUUAUAAUGAUUAAAUGUUUUAAUUUUUCACCAUCUUUUGGUGGUACGGCUGGUUUGUAUGUGGGUAGUUCUCACAAGGACUUGAGUUCGAGUCCUUCUUCCCAUGGGUUUUUGUGUCACCCUUUUCAUGCUUUUCCUCAUGUUUUAUGUCAUGCUUUUACGUCCGUGCAAGAGGGGAGAGGGGAUUCCUUGCACGAACGUAAAAGUAAGUGCUUUUACGGCUUCCUUGCACGAACGUAAAGUGCUUUUACGUCCGUGCAAGAGGGACACGACCGUGGCUUCGCGGUAUCGCGCCUCACGCGAAAGAUCGCGCCCGCGACCGUGGCUUCGCGGUAUCGCGCCUCACGCGAAAGAUCGCGCCCGCGACCGGUUUCGCCACGCGAAGGAUCGCGCCUGCGAUCGUGAAGAGACGCACACCGUGAAGAGACGCACCCGACAGGCCCUCUCGUAGAGGUAUAUAAAUAGACGACCUCUACAGAUUAGAAAUAUAUAUUUCUUUAGACAAAAAGCAAAGGAUUUCAAAUUCUUUUCCUUUCUCUACUCUCUUCCUACCAGUUAAAAUAUUUCUUCCAAAUUUUUUUUUAAAACGGGCUUCCUGCAUAUUGAUUCUGGGUUCGAAGCUUUCUUUGAUCUGUGCAAAUCAUCGAGGUUGAAGGAACGAGAGGCUGUUGUAUCUCAGGAGUAGAACGCCAUCCAAGCCUAGUGCACUGUAAGGCGGCGAAAUCUACUUCAAGAAAAGUGACCAACAUACCACACCUCAGCAUCUCGGAUUCCAUUUUUUCUACUUUUAUUUUUAAUUUUUUAUUUUAGCCUAUUACUGCCUAUUAUUUAUUGAAGUAGAAUAGUUUAGUUUUAUUUUUGCUUCAAAUAUUAUAUUGAAACAUUCCCAACCCUCCGGCAGUUCCAAAGGAGGAUCCUCAUAAUUCACCUUGAUUUUUGGCGCAGCCCUCUCCCUCAAGGCCGCCCCCAACAACUGCAACUAAAUCCCCCCAUAAGAUGACUCCCCUGCAUUAAUCCCCAUCCAAAUCCCAUCUGUUUCACUUGUCCCCUCCUCCACCACUCUGGAAUUCUGCAGCACCUUCUGGAGUAACAUCAUCAUCUCCCUGUGCCUCAUUCCAAUUGGGUCCAACGUCUCAUGGUUUGCGCCCUGAGCCUACUUUCUUCCCCGACCAAUGUAAGAGGCAUUGUCGCCUCCCUCCUCCCAGGUGCAGAUGCCUCACCAGCCAUCAGGCACUUGCCCCAUUUAGAUCCAGGUAGCUUCUCCAGACCCCCCGCUCGGCCAAGGGGACUCCUUCCCCGCGUCUUCGCCCCACUCCCGGCCGCUUCAUCAUGCACCUGCUGCCGAGAAAGGGUGUCGCCGACCACCCGGGAAUGGACACCCCCCUCCCAUGAUGCCCUGGUUUGGAGGAGGCAAGUCCGAUCCGCCGAGGCGGCCAGAGGGAGGUUGCCACCCCAUACAUGGAGUCUGACUCCUCCCUGGGAUGUAGUGCCCGUGCCCGGCACGGUUGGCACGGGUGACUGGCACGGCCCAUGUCUUUCUGGAUCGCAGGCUGCUGUCUUUCUUGGCGGGCCCCUAUUUCUCUUCAGCAGGCCAGUCCCGGGAGAUAGGCUCGCUGCGCCCGAGCCGGCCUUCACACCCUGGGCUGCGCCCAGUUCCUGCACGCCCUCACCCUAGCUCAACCCGCUGGGUUGACUCGGCCGCUCUCGCUCCAGUACUGCCUCGGGUUGGAGCCGAGUCUCUACAGUGGUUUGGCUCGCCGUCUUCUUGGGCUCCGGUGAGCCACCCCCCGUUGUCCUUUCCCCCGCCGUGCCACGUUCCGUGGUUGUUGCCAACCGUCGAAGUCCGGGGACGAGUAGGGUGGCGCCGGCUCGCUCUGCAGAGGGCUCGACUAGGGAGGGCUAGGGUUCGGAGCCGACUUCGGUUGGAUCUCGGUCUCCUUCCCCGCCUGACCCUCCGGUCCAGCGCCUCGGGUCAAGCAGACAGGACUCGUGGAAAGCCAAGGGCCGAAGAACUACCUGUUGAUGCACCCAGUCACCGUCAUCCCAGGCCCCUCCUGAGGAGAUCCGGAAUCCUCUUCCACCUGUGGCCCGGGGUGGCGACAUGCGUCCUCCAAGUGCCCCAGCCGGCCACACACAAAACAAAACGUCGGAAGGUCUUCGUACACGAAGGCCUACCAAAACCUUCCCGAUGCACCCUGGAGGAAGAUGCCCGGCACGAGGGGGCGUUGGGCAUCAAUUUCUAUCAUCACCCUCGCAUACCCCGCUCGCUGGAGUUGAUAGGACACCUUAUCGAUAUCCAAAGGCCAGCCAGCCUCUGCAGCAAUAUCAAGCAGCGAGUCCUUGUCCUAGAAUUUUAGGGAGAGACUAGAGAGGCGAAGCCAUACCACGGUCCGGCUCACCGUGUUGAUGCCUGGCACGAAGUCGGGCCUCCAUGCCUCCAUCGCCAUGAGUUGGCCAGCCACCCGCCAUGACCCGCUGGCCAGCGCAGCAUCACGAUCUUCCCCGCUCUGAAAUCAGAGAGUCAUCAGACCCUUCGCCAUCGGAACAAAAUCCACAUCGUAUUCAGCUUGCCCCGGCGCCGUAGGUUGCAUGCUACCCACUUCGCUGGCACGCGACAGCCCAAACUCCGGACGACCAACGCUGUAGACGCCCACGCCGUUCGUGCCCUGUCCACGCGGUCGGGAGGUAACUUCAGCACCUUGGGAAAGAGUCGAUGGAGAAUCGCCAACUCCUCCGCCGUAAUCCAGUGUUGGGCCCACAUCUAUCGCCAGGGGCCCUGAGCUACCUCCGACCAUGAGGAGGUGGUCGCAUCCUCACGCCGGCCGUCCUGCUCUCCCUUCACCUCCGCCGCAUUGGGUGGCCGCACCGCCAUCAGCACCACCUACCCAGUGUUCGGCAAAAGUUCCCACUCAACCGCACCAUACAGCCCGCUCCCACCCGCCUACCCAGUUUGCCCGCUUCUGUUUUCUCUGUGCUUUAUUCAUCGGUGAACGUCUACCCAAGAACUCAUGUUUUAUUUUCUCCUCUGCUGUCCCACUCAACUUACGUAUUGCAUCACCAUAUUUUAUUUUCUCCUCUGCUGUCCCACUCAACUAUCUUCAGGUUUCUAUUCUUUUAUGGACCCCAAAGGAAGACUUUAGCCUGACCGGACUUUGGUCGACCCUCCCUUGAUUUAAGCCGAUUGGGACUUUGUGCCCCAAUUAUUGGCAUAAAGACACGAACUCGUUCAAACUAACAACGUUAUAACCAUCGUAACGAAAAUUAUAUCGGUUUCAGCACCCAAAGGCCAAAGGUUGUUAUAUUAUUAUAUAAAUAUCUAAUCAUUAUUUCUACUUAUAUUUCUUCUAAAUGAACUAUUGUUUUUUUUUCAAAAUUUAAAUUGUAUUUUAUCGAAUUUCUUACUGAAGUCAUUGUGUGAUUCGAAAAAGUAAAUGGUUUUUCAUAGUUUUUCACCCAAGACAAGUGAAUGAUCAUUCAUCUCCUUGCUGUAGUGCCAAUAUCAUCCUCUUGUAAGCCAUCUGGUGCGACAAAUGUAGUAUGGGACCCGAGCCCAUCCUGCUGAUUUUGGUUACGUUCACAUUACCGCACCAGGCUUUGAGUCUAUUUUGGUGUUGAGAUCACCGCCUUGCAUAUUUUUUGUCCGAUUUUUUUUAAUGAGUAAGCCCAACAUGUAAAAUUUUUAAUAAUGAGAUUAAAAAGUAUGGAAACAGAAUUUGAACUCAAAAUCUCUGCUCUGAUAGUAUGUUGAAAUCAGCAUUUUUUCUGAAAACUUAAGUUGAUAGAAUGAGAUAGAUUUAUUUAUAUAUUUUAUACAUUUUGAUCGUUAAGCAAAGCCCACAAAAUCAAUACUAUAAAUCAUAUGUGUGUGGUCAGUAUGAUAUACACCUUGUACUAAGAUUGAACACUUUCUGUUUUUUUUUUUUUCUAAUCCAAAACUUUAUGGUCCAGAACGGUUCUGCCAUCCAGCUCAUAUGCCUCGUAUACCGAAUUAAAAAUUGAUACCUUAACUGGUAAAAAUGUAGGAGUAGUACAGAGAGUAGGUAUGAGUCAAUAGGCAGACUUUGUUGUCAAUAAUUGGAGAUAAUUAAGAACCUACUUAUCUAUGGCAAGGAGUUAGACCUGGAUUGAUGUGAUGGCACAAAAAAGCUAAUUAGCUACCCUAUAAUUCGUCUCGUUUGUUCAUUUAUUUGGUAACAAAAGCAGCAGCUAAAGCCCUCAACCCUGCAGCACGGCUGCAGUAAAUCCAAACACCAGCAUUUCAUGUCGGCACAUCCAAGGAAUUCCCAUUUUCUGAGAUGCACUUCUUUUGUCCGUUUUCAAAUCCCCUGAAAGUCACUGUAGACAGGCAUCUGAAUUAAAGGAAUCCUACUUGUAACCAAUUUUUUCUUCUUCUUUUUUGCUCCAUGUAUCUAAAUCUAAUUACAUGUCCAUGUAUCUAAACUAAUUUGUCAUCUAAAACGACUCAAACAUGCUCAAUGCUGGUUUAAGUGAAUGGCAGCCAUAGAGAAUGCUGAUUCAUUUUGCUUUCUUAUUCAGCCGAAAACUCUCUCACAAUUCUUCCAUGGCUGUUUGGCGGAAAGAAGCAGCACAUGGCUGUCUAUUUGUCCUGGAGGACAAAUCUUAUUUGAUACUCUGAAAUCUGACAUAUUGACGGACUUAUGCAUUCAAGUGGUACAAGAUGGAUAGAAAGCUAUCAAAAGACUUAAAACUGGUGGACUACGUGCCCAAGGUUCAGCAGCUAUGACCAUAGCUUCAUAACCUGUUGUACAAUGCCAACUGGUUCCUCAAUUUUUCUGCUUCAGGCUUCAGGCCAUCGAAAUUGACCGAGCUUGGUAUCCUCCAUCUCCAGUUGCCCAACUGUGAAGAGGAACGAAUAACAAGGAUCUCUCCUAUAUUAGCAGAUGUAUGAUGAUAUCUUAAUUGUUAAUUUUAGGUGCAAGCCUCUUAUAUGUAUCCAGAGCAAUUAGCAAAGUGUUGCUAGUUUUUGUUGUUGAUCCGUAGCUUAUGAUUGAUGCCUGAAUGACUCUAAAAGAACUAAAGUGUUUCCAGGUUUAUGACAAGGAUUAGAGGAGACUCAUUGACUGGAAGAAAUGUUUUGCAUCAAUCUACAUUCUAUUCCAACAAAGAGUUGAAUGGUCGGGUGACUGACCUGUGUUGCUGGAAUGUUCAUCCGAGCUGAGCUUCCCAGACCAAGGAUGUCUUGCAUGGGUAUGACAGCAGUACGGGCAACUGACGAGAUUGCAGCACAAAUCAAUGCCCAUGAGAUGGGUUCGUUGGCGAUCCAGAGGUAUUUCUGGACCUGUGCGAAGAAAUCAUUUUAUUGAUGUGACAAAUCUAACAAUGGAGACUUCUUCAUUAAAGUUUAAACUUCAAACUGCAACUGCAGAGCAUUUGAGCCCUUCAAUACUGAUAUUAAAUAGAGGCACCAGAAAUACUCACAUUACACUUCUCUUCCUCCACCAAAUUUUCCCACCAACCGAGAACCUGUAACAUGCAACUGAUUGAGCAAUUACUUAAUGGAGCCAUAACAAAUUGGCCAAAUUUUUUCAAUAAGGCAUAUGAAAGGCUAUUUCAGAAUCUGAUUAAUAUUGGUGAUCAAACCCAAAGUCUGUCCGUCCAUAAAUGGAAAGGUGAGUGCACAUGAUGGAUGUUCACCGUGUCAUUAUCAUGCGUUCCAGUGUAUACGACUUGAUCUUGCUCAUGAUUAUGAGGCAAGUGAGGGUUGUCUGAGCCACUUCCGAAAGCUGGGCCACCAAAAGAUGUGGGUCAAAAAAGAAAAAGGAAAAUCAGAUUCAUGUCAUUUCAGAAAUAUAUUGAAAGCUUGGGGGCUGUUUGGUAUUGUCGUUGUUUUUGUAUUUAUGUUUCCCUGAAAGUGAAAUACCACGUCGAGAUUGAUGUUUGGAGAUAGCAUUUGCACCAAACUUCUACCGGCCCUUGCUUUUAUUUUCACUUCUUCAGAAAAUAAUAAAUUGUUUACUGCCAAAAGCUCUGAUGGUUCUAUAACAAUUUAAAAAAACAAAAGGGUUUAUAUGCGUAUCUGUUCAGUCUUGUUCAAUUUUCAUCUUAGAUUUUUGAAAACAAAAACAGAAAACAAAAGCAAUACCAUAUGGACCCCUCAGUAUCAUGCUAUUCUGGUUAAAAAAAUGUUACCAAACUGGAGAACUGCCAUUCCAGGAGCCCCAAUAGCUUUUCUUAGCUGAACAACAUCCUCAGUAAUCACUCCCUACAAAGAUUAAGGAAGAAAAGUACUUGACGACAACUACUAUAAAAAAAUUAAGAUUCAGAAGAAAAAAAAUCAACAAGCAGAGAAAAACCCAACAUUUACAGAAACAUUUUGGAAUACACUGGAGCAUACCAAGUCUUCUGCUAUUAUAUUGAUUUUUCCAACAGCUCUAAAGAUGGCAUCAAAGAAUGCUUUCCUUGGUCCAGCCUACAGCCAAUUAAAUAAAAAAAAACAUGCAUAAUCAAUUAAUGUCCUAUAAAGAAAUACCUGUAUCUUUUUCAUGUAAUGCUUACCUUCCAGCUUCCAAACAUUGCUAUCUUUGAUUCUGCAAUUUAUGAAUUCCAGUAGCAGUCAUUACUUACUUGAUUACGUGGAUUAGCAAGUAUGUACCAUUUAUGUUAUGAAAUAUUUCAUGUAUCACCAUAACCAAAAUAAAGGUGUUAAUUAAUUGCCCACCAGAAGGAACAGCCCAAAAGCCGGAAAAACCUCUGAAAUGGUCUAUCCUAAAUUCAUCAUAUAAAUCAAGUGCACGUUUAAUUCUUUGUGUCCACCACCCAAAACCAUCAUCUUCCAUAGCUUUCCAGUCAUAUAAAGGGCUGUUGAGUAGACAAUGAAAUGAAAGGCGAUUAGCCUUCCACACUGUAGAAAAUAAUGGAACAAUGAAAUCAAGAAAGAAAUGUAAAUGGUUCAUAUAUAAUCUUUUAUUAAAAUUCCAAUAUGUGACAAAGUCCUCAAUUCUUCUUAAGUAAAAAAAACUAUAUUUCAUAUCUAUGAGGUAAGAGCUUUGAUUUCUAAAACUCCCAAAAAAGGUCAUAGGUGAGUGAUAUCGUGUGGAUCUAUCAUAAGCCCAAUACAUCACUGAAGCACAAAGAACCAAACACAUGACUAGAGAAUCAAUAAGAUAACUAGUUAUGUAUACUGAUGAAGAAUUGACAGCAUGAAAUUUGUAAGAACUUUUUGUACAUAUUGAAAAUAAAAAAGAAUCAAUAUGAAAACAUAAAUAAAUAAAAACUUCAAAAAACUUUUAGGUAUAUUAUUUUUACCUUGUAAUUAUUGAAGAAUAAGAAUCAUGGCACACUUUUUAAUAAAGAGAGUUUCAUAUUGAUAUAUUAGGAAGGUGAGUUCAUGUGUGACAUUUUUUAAUGUGUAUAAAAGAAUAAUCUUUUACAAUUUCUUGUGAGCAAGUUAACAGAUUAAUUUUAUUAGUCAAUAUCCACCAAAUUUCACUAUUUCAAAGGAUUUCUUUCAGAAAAGAAAUGCAGAUUAUCGAAUGCUGCCCCAAUCCAUAAGAAGGUAAUGCUGAGUAUUGAAAACAACAGCCAGCUGCCGGAAAGGUAAUGGUGCUGAACGAAGCCGAACCCUCAUUGAAAGAUAAAGUCAUAUUUUUGAAAUCGAUUUAGUUGAUUUGGCCAUGACGGUUUUGGCAUGCUAAAAUGGAACGACCAGAGAGUUUUCAAAGUUCCAGUCCUACUUAAAGUGAGUGAGUUUUUUUUUUAUGAGAUGAGUAUGCGUGCUACUGGCUCGAUGGACAAACUCAAGGAGCCUCAAACACUUCUCCAGCGGCUUCACUGGUCGCUGGUCUGCCAUUCUCAGUGUCUAGAACUAUAAACUUUUUCAUUUUUCGAAUCAUUCAAUCAACCGACCUUGCUUGCCGCCGUUGAGGGAUAGAACUCUCCCAAUGAAGUAAAGUAGGUGACACAUCCGAACAAGAAGAAUAUAAGCAGACUAAGAAAGUGAUUCGGAUCUCACACUUUCCACCAACUCUAUAGAAGGCAAGUUAAGAUUUGACUUCAAAUCCAAAAGGACGGAACUAGUUCUAUAUAAAAAAGAAAAGUUUAUUGUAAAGCUGACUUUUGAAGCUUUUAAGAUCAUGCCAUCAAUUGCAAAGAGAGAUCUAUUGUAUAGGAUUAAGUAGCUUUGAUGAACAAGUCUGCAAUGUUAAUCAGCUUCGUGGCCAAAUAUUAUUAGAAAGUAAUCCUGCAAUAAUGAAUUAUUGAAAAUAUGGAGAAUAAUGACUGCAAAACAAAGUGCAGAUGAUAUGAUAACAGCAUGCAGAGAGCAUGCAUAUUAGAUGAUUUGGCCAUGGGUGCUGAGAGCAGGAGACAGAUCCAGUAAAGAGGGAAUUUUGGAGGAGGUAGAAUAAAAGGGAGGACAAGAAGGACCUCAAAGGAAGUGGAGAAAAUAGAUCUCAAAGUGAUCAUUUAUAUUGUUGGGUAGGAGCAAUUGUUGGACAACAAAUGCAGACUGAUAAAGAUGACAUGAGGUAUUGUUUAUAGCUGUGGCUUGACAUGCUCCCAAGAUAGAGUUUAAUCCUAUCAACAACGGAAGCUUUCCUAUUUAUUCGAGCUAUUAGUCUGAGAAGAUGAAAAAUACUGAAGCAACUUUUGGCGUAUGAGUUUCAACCUGUCCCAUAGCUGACCAGUUUCACUGAAGGCAUCAGGAGGAACACCACUAACAAGAAUUGGAAAACCACUCCUAUCCUGCAACACAGAGAUAAAACAAGAUGAAGUGAUGUCAUAAUAUUUUGAAAGCUCAAAUCAAAAGGACGGUUGAUAGUCUCCAAAUUUCAUGUGAAACACAUACCAGCAAAAAUAAUUUUUUGUUUGCCCAAACAUCAGCACUGUGAUAGCCUACAUAAAUAGGCAUGUCACCCAUAAUCUUAAUUCCCAACUUCUGAGCAUACCUGCGAACUCUUUGCCAUUGCCUUUGAAAUAAAAAUUGUUGAGCAAUAAAUAUGUCGAUCUGCAAGAUAGAAAGAGACAUUUUGAUGGUCAUGAAAUAUUCCAUUUAGCUAUUUCGUGAGAGAGAGGUAGAAUCAAGAGGUGCCUACAAAGUCCUUGUGGUUUUGAUAUAUGUCUUCCAAGGCGCAAAGGUGGCGAUUUUUUAAAGGUUCAGGCCAACCAUACCAGGAGAAUUGAUCAACACUACGGUCAAUUGCAGCAAAAAGAGCAGCAUCUUCAAGCCAACCUAGGUAGGCAAAAAAUAGUAUGAGGACUAAGACCCAUCCAUGAAGGUACUUAGGAAAGAGAAUGGAAAUCUUAAAAAUUUGAAAGCAACUCUGCUCAUCUAUGCUGAGCCCAUAUAUACACAGACACGCACACACACACACAUGUAUAAAUGGCGCAAUAUAUACACACUCAUGUACAAAUGGCGCAAAGUCUGCAUGCUUUAUAGAUUGAUAAUGUUGGAUGAUCAAAGAUAAAAUCAGAGAAAUUUUUGGAGAAAACCAUACAUUAAAAGCUUUGACCGAAAAAAAAAAGAAGGAAAGACCACCACCAAAUUCCCCCUUCUCUAAAAAGGUUCCUUAGUGAAAAAAAGGUAAAAGGGAAUCUCUCUCUCUCACACACACACACACACACAAAAGUAAGGACAACUAAUAUGCUUGCAUAGCACAGUCUUAUACAUGCAGCAAAAAGUGUUUAGUAGGUAAAUAUUAAAUCUUAAAAUUAUAAGAAAAAAAUGGCGCUGCAUAGUUUCGGACCUACAUUUAGAGUCUUUCCUUUUGAAAACAGAAGUUUAAGUACUGUUAAAAACAAGAUGGUUCAAAUGGGGAUUAUGGAUUGACCUGUAUUAAAAAUUAACUGUUCUUGGGAAGCUAAAAACUCAAAUACAAGAGACUUGCGUUACCAAACUGAGUAAGACACUGCAUAAUAAUAUCAAACAUGCCAGCUAAAUCUCCUAAGAUGCAUGACAACACGGUACAACAUAGCCCCUAUUUUUUCAAACAAUGCUCCUGAACUUUAUUUUCUUUUAGUAGCUCAAAGCAAACAGUUUCCUUCCAAACCACCCUAAUCAUCAACAUACACAAGCCUUCGUUAAAUAAAAAUGGUUUGAGAAAAAUUCAAAUACAGGUUCUAUUAGUGAUUCAAACCAGCAAGAGCUUUAAAAAUUCUUGUUUUAUUUUAUUGAUUAAAUAUAUUAAACACCCUUAUUGUCACCCAAAUCAGUCUAGAAACAAUGGAUCCAUGAAUUCCUAAACAGGUUUAUAAUCUACAUGCUUAAACCAAAACAAAAUUUAUACUGAUAACAAGACGACAAAUCAUCCUCCCACUGCAAGAUAUAAAGACCUAUCUGAGACCUAUCUCAAGAAGCCAUGUACAGUGGGCUACAUCUGUAAAUAAGGGUAUAACGUCUUAAUUUGAUUUGGACAGUUCUUUCUCUUCACCUUCUUUAUGAGUUGAAUUUUAUUCUAAUUUCUUUCUCCUAUCUUGCUGCUACACCUACAUGGGCAAUCUUCUUUCUUUGCACAGAGAUCGUUGAGCACAGUGCUUCCAUUUUCCCCAAAAAUAUUUAUAAGUUUUUAAGUAAAACUACUAAAUAUAAUGAAAGUACUUCACUGCAUCCAGACAUUUAAGCAAGGCCAAAAAGUCUACAUUAGCUCCUGCUAAAUCAUGCCUGUGCACCAUCAUGUUGUGAAACCUUUAUGAAACAAUCUCCUUCAGUAAAUGAACCUCCUAUUGAUUCUCUCUUCCUAGAUAAUGUUAAGAAAGAGAUGCAAACAAAGAAACACAUCAACUGUGUUUUGGAGUUGUUUUUUUUAUUAAGCACAUGAAUAAAUAAUUUAUUUGCGAAGGAACCUAACCCCAAAUAUUUUACAGGUUGAUGGGAUCACAGAAUUUCAUUAAAUACUCUUGAACCAGUCACGUGCAACAAAGGCAUCAAAUUUAAGUGACCUAUACUGACUUACAAUGCUUUAAUAUAUUUUAAACUAAAAGAUGCUUUAUCAAAAUAAAUCAUUUAUAUAAUCAUUUCCACAAUAUAAUUACACAGAAUAUAAAUCUUUACAGUAAAAAGUAUAUAAUAGAUUGUAGUAUUUAUAUAUGUUCAUAAUGUUUUACAUACUAAUACAUCUGUUAUGUCAUUUAACCAUUUAAGAAUAUUUCCAGAAAAAAAUUGAAAUGUUAUUAAACACAUUCUCCAACAAUAACAUAUCUCAAAACUAAAACAUACUAGAACCAACAGUGGAUCAAAUCGAAGAGUAUUUUACAUAUAUAUUUAUCCAGAGACCUACAUGAUUCUCUCACUCCACAAUUCUUCCCAUGUCACAUUCUUCUGGUUCCUUUUCAUUAUUAUCUUAAGCCUAUUUGUCAAUUUCUAUGCUUCUUGCAGUUCGUAAAUAAAUUAACAUCUUUAAUGUGCAUUCGGUAUGUUUUUCUCAUUUUCUUAGCAUUAAUGAGAGAUAUAAUAGGCCACGAUAUCUCCAGUCUUCAUUUAUCAUGAAAAGAUGAAAGUCCUUACAAUGUUGACUUGAGUAACCAAUCUUAAAAAUAUGUGAACAAAAAACAAAGGCAUCACAUUCAUAUGCACAUCCAUAAUGCUACUAGAAACUUUCAUUGCCUUGCUGGUAACCAUAGAAGAGGAUACUUCUUUAUAGAGUGAAUAUAAAACCUUUCAUUGCUGAAAAACUGGUAUAAGCAUUUGAUAAUAACUGGAAUUGAGCAUAUGGAGCCUUGUUUUUGUGUGAAUAGUUAAAAAUAGAAAUUAUUUGGGACUUCUCUUUUGGUAGGUUUAUGUUAAAGCGUUAAUAAAUGAAUUCUCUUUUUUAUUAGAUUGACAUCCUUUAUGAUUAUCACUCUUUGAACAAUGUCAUACGCGCGCACACACACACACAGAGAGAGAGAGAGAUGAGGGGUACAAUCCAUGUGCUGGCCUUAGAAAUAUAAACUGCUCAAGUACAGUGUUGUGCCUCAACAAUUCCAACUAUCAGUCGAUGACAACUGCUUUAUAAAGUAUAACUAUUAGUUGAUCACAAUUGCUUUAUAAAGUAUAGUCCCAAGUCCCAACAGACUCAACUCUGUCCUUCAACAAAUACUAGAAACUACUUAGAAUGCAUACAGACAGCAGUACCAGUGCAGCAACCUAUUGUUCAGAAAUGAAUAUAAUACCUGAAAUGCCAGGAUCUUUACGAAAGUCAUCAAGAUGUUUCUUAAGCUCCCCUCGACUUUGAAGAAGCCUCUCUGCUGCCUAACAUGGAUCAAAAUUUAGCCAGCAUCAUCAUCCAAAUAACACUCCCUUAAAAUUAAUGCAACCACAUAGUUAAAACAGUUUGUACUCACCCCAUGGUCUUUUAAUGCAAAAAUUAGCAUACACAACAUUAGCUGGCCAAUCUUAAUCAUGCAGUCAUUCAAAAUGUCAAUGUAUGACCUUAUGCCAUGGUGCAUGCAAAGUGAUGCUUAGAAUGAUUAUUGUAAUGCAGGCUGCUUAAAAAGCUGUUAGGUGAUAGUAAUACCAUGAUUAUAUAUUUACACAUACUGCAACCUGUCUCAAAAAGAUCCAUUGAAGUGGACCCCCUUGACAAUCAUCUUGAAAAACUGAGAUUUUAGAUUGAUCAACAAAAACAUGUUAUCAGCCUGUUAGACAUAAACUAGUUGCAAUGUGUCUCGUAAAGCAAAUACAUAUACAACUACAAAGAAAACUAAGCCUUAUGAGCAAGACACCCAUUCAGUUGGACAUAUAAGACCAUUUACAUUUUCUACAACCUACAAACUCAUACAAGGAGAAAAAAGGGAAUACAACCAUGUAAUUGUCAUAAUGCAAAUAUCGUAGGAUAGCUUAUAUUAUACUGGCAUUCUAGAACCUGCAUGCCUUAACAAAUUACAACUAUAUGUGGUUCACAUAACACCAUUAGAAGACAGGUUAAUAGAACAAUACUAAAUGGAUCUACUAAAUAGGAAGAAAAGAAUAGAACGAGCACAAAUUAAGUCCUACAGUAGUCCAAAUACAUCAUGGAUGGUCUCACACAUAGAUGAAAUAUAAUCAUCUUCUGGUAUGAGAUUUACAUUUUCUAAUUUAUCAUAUCUUUUUAUUGGUAUUUUCCCACCAGAAGUUCAUAUCUUUGUACCCUUAUCUUCUUUUAGUUAACAGAAUUUCAUAUGUUUGUUAACAUGUGCACCAAGAGCAAGGUUCAGCUAAAUCACUGGGUUUAAUCCAAAAAGUUGCAUCUCGAUCACAACAGGUAAGUUCAAUGUCAUAAAGACUUAAACAGUAAUGAUGGGGUCAUCAUGAUGAAUGUAACAUGAGUGUGGAAACCACACAUGAGGGAUAGUCAAACAGAACCAAUGAUCCCUGAUAAGUCAGUCGACAAGUUCCAAAUUGAUGAUUCACUCUAUCAAAAAAUAAGCAAAAGAAAUGACAACACCUGCAGUUCAGCAUUAUCUACUAACCUUUGCUAUUAAAGGAUCUUUUACAUCUGCCACAGUUGCAAAUUCAACAUGCUCAAUUUCCCUGGCAUUGACAGCAGAGAAUUGUUAGAUCCUAUAAAGAAAUCAUUUUUUAAAGUCAUAUGCUGACAUAUCAAGCAGUUCAGAAGCUCACAUCUGCUCUGGAAGUUCAUCCUUCAUCAGUAAACCAUCUUUAACUAGCUCCUCAAGAGAAAUCAGAAGGGUGUUACCACAAUUUGCAUCCUGCAAAUAAUUAUCAAAAAAUAUUCUAAUAAUCUGAGCAAGAGCAAGAAUAUAAUGUAUUUUGGCCUCAGUCUUCAUUACAGUGGAACCCAUUUUGGACCCUAUAGAUAUUUGAAUUAGGGAUGGUUACCUGCCAGUGUAUUAUUAUAAUCUCCUUCAACAAUGAACUAUUUUCACAUUCAUUCUGCUGGUGUAUGAUUUGCUUUUGGUUUAUAUACAACAUGAAGUUUUAUGAGAUAAAAAGCUGCUCAUGGAACAAACAGCUGUGAAUCAAAUAAUAUCUAUUGAAAUGUUGCAGUAAUGUCACCGAUAGAUGUAGUAUAUACAAAAAGUAAUGUAUUGCAGUAAAAUUUAAAUUUCUUUCUUUUUUCCUUGAGACAUGUAAGAUCACCUGGCCUGCAUAGGGCGAUCCAUCUUCCCUUGACUUCCUCCCCGGAGGUACAAGUGGAAGAACCUGCAUAAAAGAAAUCAUAGAUAACAUUUCAGAAACGUCAUUAUAUCAAAGAUACUCACCAAAUCUGACGAAACCAAUUAAGGAUUAAAACCACAUGCACAGACACAGGCAAAGGUCAGGUCAGUUUGGUUGCAUGCAAGUAGAUCUGCAAUUAACAAAAGUCAUCCAACCAAUCCAUCUCCAAAGUUUGCAUAUGUAAUUCAUGUAACUAAGGUCAUUCACAUACUCAUCUCUCACCUUCCAGAAGUAACUUCACUUAAAGAAGUUCAGAAGUCACUUCAACAACAUGAACAUGAUCAUAUUUAGAACUUCCACUAUGCUUUGAUCAUUGUUCAUCAUGAUUAAUAACAUCCACAUAUGCCUCAUGACCCCUGCGCAUAAUAAACCAUCUCAAAAUCUCUCACUUUAAUAAACUUAAGCAAAUCAUCUAACUAUAGGAAAAUAUAAAAUAUAUAAAUAAAUCUACCUCAUCCUAUUAACUUAAGUUUUUGGAACAACUGGUGAUUUCAAUAAGGUAUCAGAGCAGAGGUCCUAAGUUCAAACCCUGUCUCCACACUCUUUAACACCAUUAUUAAAAAAUUUCACAUAUUGAGCUCACCCAUGAAAGGAAAGUUCGACCCACAUGUGAGAAAAANNNNNNNNNNNNNNNNNNNNAAUAAGGUAUCAGAGCAGAGGUCCUAAGUUCAAACCCUGUCUCCACACUCUUUAACACCAUUAUUAAAAAAUUUCACAUAUUGAGCUCACCCAUGAAAGGAAAGUUCGACCCACAUGUGAGAAAAAGUGUAAGAAAAUAUAAAAUAUAUAAAUAAAUCUACCUCAUCCUAUCAACUUAAGCUUUUGGACAAGUGUUGAUUUUAACAUGGUAUCAGAGCAGAGGUUCAAAGUUUGAACCCUAUCUCGGCACUCUUUAACCCCAUUAUUAAAAAAUUUCACAUGUUGGGCUCACCCAUUAAAGAGAAGUCCGGCCUACAUGUGAGAAAGAGUGUAAAAAAAUAUAAAAUAUAUAAAUAAAUCUACCUCAUCCUAUCGACUUAAGCUUUUGGGACAAAUGGUGAUUUCAACAAACAACGAUAAGUUGCAUAUUUGUCUUCCAUUUUCAGAAAGCAACUUCAGUUAAAAGAAAGCUUUCAAGCCAGUUCUUCAACAUGAAAGUGACUGUAGUUGAACUGUUAUUCUUAUAUCUGACCAUAGUAUGAUGGUGCAAUUCCUUCUAUAGUAAAUGUUAAAAUCACGCUUGACCAAAUCAUUUUCGCCACUUCUUUUGAUUUACGUCCAUUCCGUCAAAUAUUUGAAAACAGAUCUCGCUUUGCAGGAACUCACUUCCCAUGAACUCACCAGCACUACUCCACACAUUUAUAUUAAUAAUACUACCAAACUAGCUCAUUUCCUCCGGUAAACAAUUCUAAAUUCUCGAAAUCCUAAUCAUUAAUUCAUUAUCAGCGAAAAGGUCCAGAAAUACAAUGAUCCUUAACCUUCCAAAUGGGGAAGUUGUGACAAAAUAACAGGCUCAAAUUGCAUCACCAACUACUAAACUCGAUCCUCGAGCUAAUUUCACGGUAACUCGCCAGAACUAGAGCGCCAUUUUCGCUAAUUGAAAAAGAAAUAUGGUGCGAGUGGAUCGGGCAGACCACGAGCCGAUCCCUUCAGUCGACUCGAUUUGGUUCAUGGGCCCCACAAACUAGGUCCCGUGAUCUCAGAACAAAGCCGGGUCGGUCGGACCAAAUAAAUUUAGUCUAAAUCAAGAAAGGGUCCAAUGAAAAAUUUCUUGGCCCGUCCAACUAAUAAUUUCUCUUAACACUCAGACCCGACCGAUCCACUUUCCGGCCCAAACCUUUAAAUCGGAUCCAGAUAUAUUUUAGUCUCGACCCAAUCCGAUUCACUCGCAAACCUCAAGCUUAAAAACAAACAGGAACCGACCCUUCGAGAGGGUGGUAGGGUUUCAGACCUGCCAGACGGAGCAACCGGCGGAGUGGAGCCAGUCCAAGAAGCGGAACGCCUCGUCGCCGAGAUCCCCGAUCCCGUACGGCCCCGGCAGCGAGGUCGGAUGGAGCAGCACCCCCGCCCGCCGCUGCCGGCUCGGAUCCCCCGCCGGAAACCGCGACGCGUAGUCCUCCGGCAAGUCCUCCCCGGGGCGGACGGCCAGAUCUUCCGCCAGAGCCGCGGCGGCCGCCAUGGGCCAUCGACGGCUCCUCCUCCGCGACCAAGAUCUCACCCCUAAGGUUCGAGGGGUGGUGGCGGGAAAGGAGCGGGUGGUUCGGACGGUGGAGGAAGUGAAGAAGAAGGUGAUGAGAUCGGAGGAGAGGAGGAAUAAUGAUUGAGAGAGCGCCAUUAGAGACACACAGCACUGAGAGAGGGGUGAUGGGAUCCAAAGCGGAGUGAGCCAUAGGAGGCACGUGAUAAGAAGGGGACAUUGGAUCGUGGGCGGAGCCAGAUGCGAUACUCGCAUAGAAUGAAGUUUCUAUGCGGUAUUUUUUUUUUUUUUUUUGGUGAUAAUACCUCAGAGUUUGGAGAGAUCUCCUCAGCUGGAGACGUGGUAUUCGUGAACUCAUCCGGGCUGGCCACAUUUUUUUUCAUCGUUUAGUGGCAUUUUGAUCGCGAUCCGACUGCAUAGGGAUGGAAAGGGGUGGCACGUGGGUUUAAAUCUAAGUAAAAUACGAAUCCCAACCCAAUAACAUGAUCAAGUUUGGAUUUGAUUUUGAAUUAGAUUCAUUUUGGAUUUGGAUCAAUAGAUAAAUAUCCAAUGACUCUAUAUUUUAAAUAUUUAUUUUUUUAUAUUUUCUAUAUUUGUUGUUUUUUAAAAAAAUUUGUGGCUAAACAACCAUCUAAUAAUGCAACUUCAAUCGAGCAUCGGAAGAAACAAGAAAGAGGAAGAACAGUUGCAGAAACAGCUACGUCGGGAAAUAUUAAAGUAUCAUUAAUUUCUCUCCCAUAAAGACUUUUUUUUUGGAUAAUUCAUGAGUAAAUCAUUAAAUUUGUAAAUUGUUCCUGAAUAACAUAAUAAAUAUAAAAAUCAAUAAUUUGAAGAAAAGAAAAAAAAGAAGAGAGAGAGAGUUCUACCAGGCUUAACUCCUACCCUGCUUGUAAGGAGUAUUCAAAGAAAAGUUUAGUUUCUUAGCUGUUAGAUUCGUCCUUUAAGCGCUCGACUUUUAGAUCAUGUUUAUUUAAUGUUUUAUUCAGUUCUCCAUUUAUCACUUGUUAUUGAUUGAUAAGAUCCCCAGGAACGGAUAGCAGCAUAUCAAACAUACAUAGAUAUAGACGUAAAUAAAAUUUUUAAAAAAAGGACCCAAAAUCUGUGUAACAGGACUUGGAUCGCACUCCUGCGAUGUUCAAAUAUACGAAUCUAAAACAUUAAAAUACGCUGGGUACCAGUAUGAAGGCAGUACUGAUCUUCAGGAAAGACACCUAUUGAGUCAAACUUGACAUGGAUGCACGUAACAAAUAAAAGAAUAAUAAUGUUAAUAAAAAUAUAAUUUAAUGAGAAGUGAAUCUCUGAAAAUAAUAUCUUAUAUAAUGAUAACCCAUAUAUAUUGCUUCUCUAUAUUAAAGAUACAUAUAUAAUUAUCUUAAAGCAAAGCGUCUUAAAAUAUUUCUACAAUAUCUAAUUUAUGGCAAGGACCUUGCAAAAAGUCUAUUACCGUGUGAAAAAGGACCAACUGUGAUAUGACUAGGUGGCGAUUGAAUGGCUUGAAAUCAAAAGACUUAGGAUUCACCCAGGCUAUAAGAGUAACAGACAUAGCAGAGAAUGAUGUAGCUUUCUAUUAUUUUAUGUUUUUGAUUUUGGUUUUCUAGAGCGUGAAGUUUGAACCAUUUGGUGGACUAGUUGAGUGGUAACCUGAGGAUUCAUGGUGGAUAGAAAAUAAUUGGAUGGUUGUGAUGGAAGAUAGAAAUUGUAGGAUAUUAGAAAUUAAGAUUGACAUAUUUAUGAUUCUCUAGAAUUUUUGAUGAAUUUUCAGAUUUUUUAUUUGUGCUUUGCACGAUACGUAUGAGGAAUGACAAAAUAAUUACAACAGCAAAAGUAUCAAUUUAGCAUAACCAAAUCCAGUGAAGAGUAGUUUUUUUCUGUGAAAUUAAAACCAAUAUGUAUACAUGUAAAAAAUAAAAGAAAUGCUAAUAAAAAUAUAAAUGAAUGACAAGCAAAUCCGUGAAGGAUAAUUCUUUUAUUGACAUAAAUUUAUACCGACAAGGGAGACUUCUAGUAUGAAACAAAUGGGCUAUGUACGAGUUCCUACGCAUGUAGAAGGAACAGUUAAGUGGAACAUGGAAUGAUGUAAGCAAAAUUGUUUUGAAUAGCAGAUGAGCAACGCUAGGGGGUACCCCUGCACCCCCCUUAAAUGAACCUAGGAGAUUGAUGUUACUCAUUGGGGUAAGUUAGCCGGCCACGGAGGCAAUGAAGAGACCAGAACCUUUCGGUCACCUCAAGAAUAGCAAAUCUUUCUUUCCGACAACAAUAUCUCAACUCCAUCUGCGCUAUUCUUAUCCAUCUAUUUCCAUGUCCUUCUCUUCCUCUGUUUAAUACUUGCAGAGCCAACUAGCCUAGCAGUUUUCAUGCAGUGGAGCGCUAGCUAUUCAAUCACACAAGGUUUGUCGGACCCGCUUGAAACCAACUGGCAAUUUAUGAUUCACUCAACCCUGUGCGACGCCGCCAAAAGGUGGAAACGAUAAAAAAAGAGCAGUUUGCGCAGAUGGUAACAGACGCUCGGAUUUGUCUGAUUCUCAGAUGAAAAAGAUUACUGAGUCAAACAUCAUAACCAAUUGAUAAUCGAACAUCAUUCUCCAUUUGAAAAUAGCGAAAUUGUUGCCAUUAGCAAAAGUCUGUAGACAUCAUGCCCCCUCAGCAAAUUUUCUCGAGUACAGGAUAAAACUAAAAAUUGUACAACAAAAUUCCUUGCCGGCCUAAAUAUUGUAACCCGCGACCCAGUCUAGCUUUUUUGGAGUGAGAAGAAAGAUUUAUCUCCGAUUUACAUCUCCUAUAUACAAACUAAAAUGCCUUGAUACUACAAAAUUCACCUGCAGCAUCCUACAGCCAUUUCUUCUCUCAAUCCUCCUAUAAAACGCCAUAACUUCCGGGCCUAUAUCUUAUGUUAUAUUUUUAUCUUUAUACAAGUACCAUCCCUGCAAUCCAAUCCUUUCUGACAGCCACCGUCCAGUGAUGUUGGUAGGUCUCUUCCAAAAAAAAAUUGGCAACCUCGCCUGCUUCUUUACGGACCACAUUUCACCAAUAAUUUCAGGGCGGUCAGGUAGCAGGAAUGGAUGAGAUGAGCGAGCGCCUUUUAUGCGCCUGUGUUUCAGCCCAAUUUCGCCAACUUGCAGCCCUUCAGGUCCACUCUCAUUACUGCGGUGACCUUUGCAUUACAAAAGAAGCACCUCUGGCUGUUCAAGAGGUGCCUGGUAAUGCAGCCAAGGCAAGACCUGUGGUGACAGGGCCCAAAAAAAGCAUCACAAUCAGAGGCAUAGCAGAUGCAGCACUGGUUCUCCCCUUCAUCAUCUGUGCUAAUCCCUAAUUCUCCUAUCCCAUCUAGUGCCUCCGUUCUGCUUCUCAGGUAGUUCAGGAACUCCUCAAGCUGCGCUAGUUUUGCAAGAGAAGCAUCCCCUUGUAGGAUAUUGCUCUGCAUAAUUGCAACAAUCAAAAACAAUAUAAUGCAACGCAUCAGUGUGUGACAUAAGAAAAAAUUAUAGAAUUUUAGUACAUGAAGAUAUUUGUUAUGCACAUGCUUAUAGGGCAACAAUAGAAUGGAGUAUUAUGCUGUCCACUUUAUAGAAGAUGUUGCACAUCGCUACAUUUCAUGGUCUACUGCAGUCAGUGGCUUCUACCAAACAUGAUGCAGGGACAAGACAAUCACAUCUGAGUUCCAAGCAAAUGCAAACUGGGAAGAAGAUUCUAGCUUCAGAACGAAGUCUGACAAUAUUGCUUCAGUAAUGUCAGCUUGCCAAUAAUGAAUUAUGGCUAAGAUAGGAAUACUAAUGGCUCCUGAUAUGCAGCAACAUGGUAAUGUAUUUUCUAAUAAUAAAAGCAAGCAAUUUUGGAUGAACGAUCAAGAUGCUCAUCAAGGUUUGACUGAACCCUUGAGUUUCAGUUUCAGCAAUUUCCGUCUAAGUUCUAGAGUUUCAGUCAAAAAAGCUUUCAAAAAAAAUAUAUAGAAAAAUAAAUGGAAGAUAAAACAAGCCAAGAAAAUCUAUUACCACAAAAUUUUGGCGAAUUCAUAAUGUUUGGAUUCACCAGAUGAAUGCAUGUUUCAAGCUGAAAGUCCAAUAAUGCAAUAGCAUAAAAAUUAUAUCAGCUAACAAUUAGAAUGUUAGGAAAUCAUGUUAUACAUCAAUUUAGUGUUUGAUAGUAUCAUUCUGUUUUCUGCUAAAAAUCUAAUCAUCAAGACAUAGAUAUGUAAAUAUCUAAAGCAAAAUAUACAAAACUAUAAGAUAAAAUGCCACACCUAUACAAAUUUGAUAUGACAAUUACUCUCACACCAAGCUCCAAGAACUUGAGAUUUCUAUCCUUCCAUGCCAUCAAGUCCCUCAGCCUUUUCAAUCGAAAUUCUCUUGAUGACAUCUUGGCUUCUUGUAAUGAUCAUGGACCACAUCACACAUGUUAGCCAAAAGGUAUUACUUAGGUUCCUUAGCCCUAUAUAAAUACCCAAGAUUUUCUUGAUGCAACACCAAUGUGGUACUAAACACUUAUGUUAGACACUCACAUCUAGCACCCAGAAUCCGUGUUGGAUAAUAUCCAAGUCGGAUACGCAUUGUACACUUCGAUAGUUAUCAAUAUUUAUCAAUUGCAGUUUUUAGAGAUUGAUCAAGAGUUGACUCCAUUAAUGAGUUAGAAUCACUAUAAUAUUUUUAAAAUGAGGUUUUCUUCUUUUCAGAGAUUGGUUAAGAAUGUAAAUAUUAAAAUGAUUUCAUAGAUUGUCAUUUUCCUAAAAUCUGAAGCUACCUAGGAAAUUUGGAUGAGGAACAUGUAUGUUAAAAGACCAUAACAAAUAAUAUCUUUUCAUGCUUCCUUUCAUACAACACCUAAAAUAUAAAGUUUUGUCAAUAUUAAUUCUUUUCGACAUAUCCCGUAUCUUCUUUUUAUCCUCUUAACAAGUCCUGAAUCCAAUUCUCAUGUUCAUGGCCAUGUAGAUGUAACACAACUAAAAAACAUGCCCAUAGGGGUCCUCACAUAAUCCCCUUGUUUAAACCCUAGCAUGAGUGGCAUUCACGAAGGAUCCCAAUCUAACAAAAUCCAACCACAAACACCACAAUAGACACAUGGUCAGCCUUAAAAGGGUUUGUGGUGUACUCCACAUGAACCAUAGUUGGGUUUGCUCUGAUCCUAUUUGCAUCAACUUAAAACCUCAUCCGAAAAGGCUAGCCAAAAGAUUUUAUUUGAAUCUCUUGACUCUGUAUAAGUACCUAAGAUUUCCUCAAUACACAACUAAUGUGGGACUAUAUACAUGCCCACACAGAUCCUCUCAUAAGGGAGGAGACUUAAUUAACAUGUUCUUUCAUUUUUCUAGAAAGAGCAGAAUUCGAAAAUUCUUUCUCUAACUUAAACUAAACCAUUAUAAGCCAAAUUUAGAAGAAAGAAGCUCUCACAAUGUUAAUAAGUUGAGUAUUGCAGGUGGACAUGGAUAAAAUUGGUUUGACUUGGCUAGCCUGAAAAAGGAUGGGACUAGGUAUGGGUUUCCAGCCUACAGGGUCAAAUCUGGCCUAGAAUCCAUGACUUAAAUAUUUUUCUAACCAAACUCAAGCAAACUGGAAGUUCCAUGGCCCAACAUAAAACAUUAAGAAACAUUUUCUUCUAUUAUAUAUAAAUCCUAAUCUAAUCCCAACACUUUUCUUGUGCUCAGCCCUUGCCUCUCUCCUUCCCCCAUCCUCUCUAACCCAUCGAUCCUCUCCCCCCUCACGGCCACCAACUUGCACCAGAGCUGCAUGGACACGGAUAUGAGAAUCAGUUUCAGACAUAUUUCCAACUAUGUGACUCAACAAGAGUGAGAAUGGGAGAUAUAGGGAUACGGGAGAUAAAAUAAAAGAUAUUUUAUAUAUUUAUUUCUUUGAACAUUGUUAUAUAUUAAAAUAUUGAAAAGUUAUUGUUUGUUAAGAUCUUUUAACAUAAAUGCUUUGAAUCAAUUAAUAUAUAUAUAUAUUUAUGCCAAUUAACUUAAGGAUAUAAGAAAAAUUAUAUUUUACAAACUUGUUUCAAUAUUAACAUCCUUGAACCAUCUCUAAAAAGAACAAAUACUCCUAAUAUUAAUAAAGGGAAUCAAACUCGUCGUUGAAAAAGUUCAACGCUUUUCCAAUCUCUAAGAGUGACUACCAAGGAACUUCAUGAGUAUGAAAGUGUCCAGUGCGUAUCGAGUCAGAUACGUAUCAGAUAUCAAUUUUGGAGCUGGACAGGAGUGUCUAGGUAACACACGCAUGCACCACUAGGAUGAUCUCUUAAGUGAACCAUCCCCCCUUAAUUCUCUCUUGUUGCUGCUAGUUCCCUGGUUCCUCUCUUGACCUCCUUCCUUGCCACUAGUGAUUUCAAGUGCUCUAGCUCUCCUUGCCCUAACCACAACAAAAUCCAACACAACUUCCUUCUUCUUUCUCCUCCAUUGGUGUCAAUUCCCAUGCUUCUCCCUCCCUCAUCCGUGCUAUGGUUGCAACUAAGGCCCUGUUUGGCAGAGCUGUUCAGUAGAGCUUUUGGAAGUAAAGCUUUUUGAAGCGGAGCUUUUAUAAAAAGUUACUUGCUGUUUAGUAACUACAUUUCUAAAGUACUGACACUUUAACAUGUGUUUGGUAAACAAACUGAGAAGUACUUUUGGUAUGACAAAAUAACCAUAAAGGACAUUGUAUAAUAUUAUACAAUAGAGCAUAAUAAAAUAUAAUAUAUAUUAAUACAUAAAUAUAUGAUAUAAUAUAAUAUUACUGUAAUGUAAUAUAAUAUUAUUAUAAUAUAGUAAUAUAAUAUUGUAUACUAUAGCAUAAUAAUUUAAUAUAAUAUUAAAUUAUUUAACAUAGCAAAUCAAUGUAUUAUGAUAUAAUGUAAUAUAGUAUUAUAUUUAUAGUAUAAUAUAAUAUUUUCUUCUCAUCUUGGGUUGAUGGACCAGCAAGGGUAUGUUAGCUCUUCUUAGAAAUUUGUUCUUCUUACAAUACAACAACAAAGACAUGAAACAUUUUGUCAAUCAUAAGUCAUGAUUUCAUCCAUAAUCAUAAAGCACCUUGUAAAGCAUAUCUAAAUAUGUACAAUUUACAUACAUAUAGAUUACGUACAUAUAUAACUUACUUAGAUAUUAAUUUCUUGUACAUAAAUAAAAUUACUCAUGCAUUCAAAAAUAUAAUUAAUACGUAAACUUAUUGCAUAGAUUCCAUAAGGCCACUAAAAGUAACAAUUUACUACAGAAUUCUAAAGAUGUCGAUUGAAUUAAUAUUAUAUACAUGAAUUAUCAAUUAAAUUAAUAUUCUAAAGAUACUCUCUAAUAUUCUAACAAUUUACUAUCAAUUAAUAUUCUCUGCUCUGUAAUAUAGAGAGAGAUCCUCUCUCUGCUCUGUAACAGAGAGAGAACUCUCCUAGUAAUAGAGAGAUCCUCUCUCUGUAACACGAUGGAUCUCGCAGUCCACCGUGGUCAAUCGUGGGAGUGGGUGGACCGCGACAUCACGGUCCACGCUGAGAGGUGGACCACAAUGCCGCAGUCCACGCUCAAAGGAGGACCGCGAUGUCGCGGUCCACGCUGAGAGGUGGACCACGAUGCCGCAGUCCUCUAUCGCCCUCUCUUCGUUUAAGCCUGGACCGCGAUGCCGCGGUCCAUAUCCUCUCUGGUGCAUGGACCACGAAGAACCGUGAUGUCACAGUCCAUGCUUAGAGGUGGAUCGCAAUGUUGCAGUCCUCUAUCAUAGAAGAUGAAAAAGAGAGAUCGAUGGAAGACAGAUUGUUUAGGAAGAAAUGGAGAAUUAUAAAAUUUUUUUCCUAAAACAGGAUUCAAAACGAUGCAUACAAAAAUAGAAAAAAAGAAUACCUUCUUCAUGGGAGAGAAUCUGUUCGGCGACUAGGGUUUCUUGUUGGGACUCCUACAGAUUUUCAGGAUUAUAAAGAGACAUUUAGUGUAAUUGUUAUAUUUUAUCAUAGGUAUUUUGGCCAAAAAAACAGCUUUCUGAUGGAAACUAAAAAUGCUUUUCCAGAGAAGCUCCAAAAUGGAGUUUCUUCUAAAAAUCUAUUUUUAGCUUUCUGAAAAAGCUAAAGUAGCUUCCCAAAAUUUUUACCAAACACCCCUAUUUCAUCUAAAAGUGCUUUUGGAGGGCCAAAAAGUGCUUUUUGGCCCUCCAAAAACUCUACCAAAUAGGGCCUAAGAAUGGAGAUAAAUCAACCCAUGCCUUAAGUAAUUGGCCAGGCCGGGUUAGUUCGAGCUUGGAGUCUAGCUUUUGAGCAGGACACCACGAUGCAACAUAGGAUGCAGCAAACAAGUACUAUAACCAACUGGACCAUGCCAGGCUCAAAACUGAGAAUUGGUUUUGGCCAAAGGCCCAAAUUUAAAACCUUAAUGCUCAAUGAACAAGGACAAUAUUAAGUGCCCUCCAAUGUUAUGCAAAGAGCAAGUGAAUUGUCAACAUACAAGCUAGACAAAAGAAUAGAUUAUAAAUUGCAUGCAAUGAAAUAUGUCAAAGUCCAUGACACAAGAAUUUAGAAUUUUUUAUUAAAAAAAGUGAUAAAUCGCAGUUGGCAUAUGAAACAUAGUCUAUUAUAAUUCUCCAACAUGGUAAUCAGAGAUUAUCGGAGUGCCAAAUGCCUCCGGAAUGUUUGCUUCAAUUCCCACACUCACGCUCUAUGCUACCACCAACCUCCUAAGACUAAGCAUCUUAAAUUACAGUUGUAUUCUAUCAAAACCAACUAUAGUUCAAUUGAACUACUCCAUUAGAAGUUCUAACAUCUCAAGGUCAACCUAUCAUGUGUUUGCUAAAAUGCAACGCUAAGGAGAGUGCCAACUCCUAAAUUUUUCAAGAGAUUUACUUCACUACUUCUGGACUAGAAUCCACUCACACACUCUUUUGGUUUAAACUGCUAUUUUCUAGAGCAUUAUUACACCAUUCUAGUUUCAAUGAUAAUUUAUUGUUAUAUGAUAAUUAGCUAUUUGAGUUUUACACCAUUCUAGCUUCAAUCAUAAUUUAUUGUUAUAUGAUAAUUAGCUAUUUGAAUUUUUCUUUUUUCUUUUUAUUUUUUCGAGAGAAAUUCUGUGGUGCUUUAGCAAGUCCAUAAUUCAAAAUCAAACAGAAAUAGAAGAUCAAGCACAUGAGAUUCAAGAAAUCUAACCCAAUCAUAACUCAAGAGGUAUUGAAAUCCAAAACGAACUGUAGCAGGACAAUCCAUGUUUGCAAACACCGCUACAACAUCAUUCAGUUCCUGAUUUCCAGAAUCUGCACUUGCAUCCAUGAGGUUAAGGAUGAUGCCGACAAGAGGUGCAAGGAUCAUAGUCCUACUUGAUUUCUCUUGAUGUUGGCUAGGUCGCCUAAGUAACCUACAAAAGGAGCAUAAAAAAUAAAUUUAAAAAAUAGUAAUCGGAGAGAUGAAAAAAAUUUGAAGGCAAUGCACUGACUUGACCUUUAAAAAUUGAUAAAUAAAAUAUUUUUAAAACAGCAAAUGCAGCCAAAAAAAAGACUCAAGUCAAGAAUUUAAUGUAUCAUAAAUCAAUUAAAUAAAUUUUUGCAAGUCAACUAACACUUAGGCCCCAUUUGGGAUUGAUAUUGAUAGUAAAGCUUUUAAAAGUAGAUCUUUUAGCAAAAAGUUGUUUAUUGUUUAGUAACUAUAUUUCUAAUGUGCUAUGAAACAUAUACAUCUGCUUGGUAACUAAACUAAUAAAGUGAUUUUAGUAUGUCAAAAAAAUAAUAAAAGACAAUGCAUAGUAUUAUAUAGUAUAGUAUAACAUAAUGUAAUAUUAUAUUAUAUUUUAUCAUACAGUAUAAUAUAAUAAUAUAACAUGAUAUGAUAGGAUAUGAUAAAAUAUAAUAAUAAAUUAUUACAUAGUAAAAUAUUAUUACAUAGUACAAUAUUAUUAUAUUAUAUUAUAUUAUUGUAAUAUAAUGUGAUGUAAUAAUAUAAUAUAAUUAUAAUAUAAUGUGAUAUAAUAUUAUAUUGUAUAGUAUAAUAAUAUGAUAUGAUAUAGUAAUGUAUUAUUACAUAUUAAAAAAUUAUUGCAUAGUAUAAUUUUAUUAUAAUGAAUAUAAUGUAAUACAAUAUUGUAAUAUAAUUAUAUUGUAUUAUAUUGUGGUAUAAUAUUAUAUUGUAUGGAAUACUAAUCUAAUAUUGUUAUAACAAAAUAUAAUAGUAUAUUAUUAGAAUAAUAUAAUAUAAUAAUGUAAUGAUAUAAUAUAAUAUAAUAUAUCUAUGAUAAUAAGUAAUGCAAAUACAUGAUUGGUUCCUAGGCAUUUUGGUCAGUAUGAAAUUUUCUACAUCAUAAGCAGCCUCCUGACAUCAACCAAGUAGAUCUUUUAAAGAAAAGCUCCAAAAUGGAGCUUCUCUUAAAUGAAUGUUUAUCAGCUUUGUCGGGGAAUCAUAAAGUACUCAUUUUUUACCAAACACCGCCAUAUAUCCUAAAAGAGCUUUUUCCGCUCCAUAAAGCAUUUUCUAUGCCUCCAAAAGUGUUCCCAAACAAGGCCUUUGUAGUUAGUGCUACAGUAAAAAUUCUAGUUCUUCAAAAGACAACAGAUCAAAAUUACUUCCAUAACACCAACAAGUUCUUUACUUUCAAGGAGAGUGGGUUAAGUGAAUUCUAGUUCAAAAAUCAGCAAUAAAUUUGUAGUUUCAGCUCAAUAUCCAUCACUUUUGAAGAAAGCUGUAAACAACAAGUUUAAUAUUGUCUAUAUGGGAUGCUUUUACAAAAAACUUACUUCACCACUACUCCAAUUAAGGUACUACCAAAUGUCAACAUAAGCCUGUCCGGAUCUUGAUUUAGUUAGAUUAACUUGAGGCCUCUUUCUUCUGGAGAAUUGCAUGCAAGUACAGGUCCUGCCUCCAUAUUGGAAUGUCAGAUUUUCUUAUACAUGGCCACACAAUCUCAUUAAAUUUUCCACUCAUUAUACUCGAAUCCUGCAACUCCAACAAUUCUUUUAGGUAAUUAUUCUAAGUUUAUCCUUUCUUCUCUAAUCAUGCAUCUGGUUUGAUGUUUCUCACAUCUUAUUGGUCUUAUUGCCAAACAUUCUGAUAAGAAAAAUGCAUAAGUACAAAACAAGAUUUUUAACUUACAAGUCAAAAAGCUCAGCAUCCACACCCAAAAUUAUGUGGUUCAAAAUAAAGAUGACCAAUUCUGUUAGCCUCCGAAGAUUCAUGUCAGGCCCCAAAAUGAAUGCUUGAGGGAUCUCACGUGUACAGAAUUCCAGUAUCCUUGCAAGACUGCAUGAAAGAUCAAAAACAACACCACAUUUUCUUUGCUGCAAGUCACCAAUCUGCAAAAGAGAGUUUCCUCUCAGGAUUCAACAAAUCAUUACAGAAGGAAAAAAGAAACAAUAGCAUCGAAUCAGUAGUAUUCAAGUUUGCAGUCAGCCAAUCAUAAGAAAAUAUCAUCAAUGAUCAUGUAUUUGUGGAACUUAAAUAUUACAAAGUAUAGCGCAUAGAGUAGAAAUCUUCAGCGCCAACAACGAUUAAGCAUAUUCUGAGAGCAACCAUGAAAUUCUAUUCAGCAAAUCAAUGGAAAAACACUGUUUCAAACUGAAAAUACACAUCUGAUGACUACUCUACAAUUAGAGGUAUCCAUUGAUGAAUUUUUAACUUUUUCCAAUAAUUUUUCAAUAUUUUUUUUAACUAAAUGGAACUGCAAGGGCCUCAUUAUGAAAUAUCGAUUUUAUUAUUAUCCCAAUGGUGCCUGCAGAAGUUUCUAAAGACCUACCAUGAGAAACUGAAGAUUUUCAGAAAAUGAACUACUCAAUACAACAAAUUAAGCACUAAAAAAAGAAUGCAAGUGAUUUGCAACCGCAGACUGCCCUAAUUUCUGUCACUCAGCAAAUCAGAUUUGCAAUGAAUCAGCUUACUAAUCCAUACACCAGAAAAUAACAAAAAGUAAACCUGAUAACUCUCCUGCAUCUCUCGAAUGGACACAGAGAACUCAGUCAUGCUCCAGCUAAGAGUGUUGAAAAGCCGAUUAAGGAAUGAAGAGAAUAGCACUUCAUCAUGGACGCAUGCCUCUCUUAAUAAGACCUUCAUGAUGCAAAAGGACCAAAACAACACAUUACACAAAAUAAAAAGGAAAGAUACAAUACAGACAUAGCAAAAAUGACGAGGUAUCAUAUUGUUGUCUAACCUGGAAAAGUGCAGAUGACGAAGUUUCCGCAUGCUUUGAGGAACCAAAUCCUGAACCUUUACAUAGCUUUACUAGUAUGUUCGUGACUGGAAUCCAGGAUCUGUUAUCAAAUGCCAACAGUAAUGCCCUUGGCAUUCUCCUAACAGCUUCCUUGUUAUUCUCGAAAGCAAUCAAAUAAUCCUUGUAUUGUACUAAGACUGAUAUCGAUUGGAGAAGAAGAUCUUUUAUGUCUGCACUUGAUAUUCGUGGAUCAUUGAAGUGCUUCACAACAAAGGUUAUCUGAUAACAAAACAUGGAAAAUUCAAACUAUGAGUUUCCUAGCCAAGUAUCUCAAACUGAUACAAGAUACACCAGGGAAACUGCAUACUCAAUCCUUAUGAGGUUCUUCUAAUUUAGACAGCUGCUCAUGACAUUAAUUACCAAUCACUUCCAGUUUAGGUUGGUUGUCUGUUGUGAUCACAGUCAUUAAUGUAUCUGCAAGGAUCUCUGAUUUUCUUACUAUAUGAUUAUACAAUUGUUCAACUUGAAAUCUUUUUAGCAGCCUUUUAUCUGAUCAACAAAGCCUCGUUGGUAUGAUCAAAGUGUUCGAAUUAAUAUAUGAGACAAUAUCAGGGCAAUAUUGCUCAUAUGUCAAACUUAACUAUCUAAAAAAUCAUCAAUCAAAAAAUAUGGUUUAUUUAUUUACAAACUCAAGCAUAUUUAACUUACCCAGUUUGGUUAAAUUUACAAUGUUUAAUUUGCCCACACCAUUUGUCGAUCAUCUCCUCCUAUCAUGAUCGGUUCUAAGUUAUACUUAAGUUAUCCAAAACAUGUCUUUGUUUUAAACAUUUAAACCAUUCAUUAUGAAUUACAAUGCCAGAUUUAUUAGCUCAAAAUUGCGAUCUAUCUUCGUGACACAGCUCUAUAUGUCAUUUUAUUAGACCCAUUUUGUAUUAUUGCUGUGAACAGUAAGAAUGUAGCAUACUGCAUGCUCAUAAAUUCAAUUUUAACUAAUACAUAAGAAGCUAGUUAACAAUCUGGAAAUGAUUAAGCAAAAUGAAUAGAGAAAUAUAGUCAUACUUUAUGUAACACCCUCAAUUUUCCUAGCUAUAAUAACAGCAAGCUAAUUGACCAGUAAGACUAAUGAGACCAAAUAGUAAAGUAGCACUCUUGUUAAACUAGAAGAUUUCAUGGAAGCAAAGAGCAGAUCUACUGGUUUUGAAAUCUAGCAGGAUGCAAUAUCUAUGACUAUCACCAUUAUCUUAGUCAUCAAGCUUAUCCAACUACUUGGACACUGCACGGUUACAGCAUAGAAUUUGAAGCUAUAGCCCCCCUAGAGAGCAGAUCCACCAUCAGAAUGAGAACAGUCGAUCCAGAAAAACAACCCUAGGUCAAUACAUAAAUAGUUGGCAUGCACAUUUGCCUGGUAAAGUCUAGAAAUUUGGGAUUUCAUGCAUUAACCAUCAAACUUUCAUUCAUAAUCGCAACAUCAUGUCCCUAGGUUUCCAAAUUCUAGAAGUCAAAAAAAAAAGGUAUUUCUACAUAAAACAGCCAAUCACACAAUCAACACAGCUAGCUAAAACAAGUUGUCAGUAUCCACACCUCAAGGGCACUUUUCGUCAGGUUUUCAUGAAGCCCAUAGCUCGCUCAAACAACUAUAUUUAAAAUAGAGAAAAGAAAACAAGUAUUGCAAUACCCUGACCAUAUUUCUCAUGUAAAUAUUCAUUUAUAUGCUAGGUUGAGUCACCAUGUCCAAAACUUCCCUAGCCAGGAAAACCAUCUAAAAAAAAUCUCAAAUAGUUUGAAGAAUGACAUGGGAAUACCUCAAACACCAAGGUGAAUAAAAAGCAAAGUAAUAUACCUUUUCAUGAACCCUGGCUAAUAAACUCCUAAUCUGAACCAUUUAAAAAUGGAAAUGAAGGUAGAAGAAAUGUGAACAUAUUGAACCCCUUUCAUCCUGCCUCAGAAACAACUUGUUCAUUGAAAACAAUAUGGAUAAUAGUACACAUGACAAUAUGCCUUCUCCAAGUCAAACCUACAAACUUUGAGCCUUCUAAAAGCAAGUCACCCAGUGCAAUGAUAAAUGCAAACAACAUUGGCAUGCACUUGGAGGCACAUUGUCAAAGAUAUCAGUGCACCUGAUACUUCUCAUAGUCAUUGGGCAACGGCACCAGCCAUGGUUUUGAAAGAUUGUUCAAUAAGUGGUCGACACAAUAAUGUUACCCACUCCUUUUUUAGGAUGUAAGAAGACAGAUGUUGCAUACAGAAACAUCACAAGACCAUUGAUUCUAGAAAAAUACAUUGGCACUUCAAACAAAUUAACCAUACCGAUCUCCAAGAAGUUGUCUAAGUUUUUUUCCCUCCUUCCAGAAACAAUCUCUGAAGGUCCCUGUCCAAUUCUGAAAAUAAUUCAUGAUCAUGCUAUGCAUAUCCAUAAAGCCAUUUAUCUCCGACCAACAACUUUGAUUCUUAUACACAAUUAGCUGAAGUGUCUCCCAUAUGCCAACUAUAGGCAAAAUAUGAUACCAUGUCACCUCUUCUCAUCAAAUGGCAUAACAUUUUUUAUCUCUGAGAAAUUUCCUUCCUUUUUAACUAAAAAUUAAAUUCAUCAAAACCAAGUUUUGACACUCAUUCAUUUAGAGAUUCCCGCCGAGUAUAUCAUAAUAAACUCAUCAAAGAUCUUAUCUAGAAAAUUCUACGAAUGUUCUUUCCAUUGCACCUUCAUAUUUACCUUCACAUGCUCUGUGUUGCACUUCCCACCCCGUCUGCCUACAAUUUAGAGAGACUCGAAUCCAAGGAUUCUGUAGCGAUGUACCCAUGUGGAUCAAAAAAUAAGGACUACAGCCAUAUUUUCUGUUCAAAUGAGAAAGAUAUGAUUCAAGGUUGGCCUACGAAUGACAACUAGAAUAACCAGUGGAAUUGCCCCUCCCAUUAAUCAUGCAGAAAAAAGCCAACCAAUCAUGGAGUCUUCACUCUAGAAUUACUGAACCUACUCCUUAUGGUUGGACCUAUUUCAAGUGCCUGCAAGAUUACUCAAAGUCCUUCCCAUUCAACCUCCUCCUCAUGAAAGAGAACCAAGUGAUAAUACACAUAUACACCUGAGGCUGAGUCCUUCCAAUGCCAACAAGCCCUCUUCAAUCCUCCCCAAAAAUUCAAAUAACUUCCAAGAUCCCCAGGCUCCUUCUAACUCCUGACCUCCAUUGAUGCAUUAGGUUUCUCUUAGGAAAUAAUGCCAUCAUCGUACAUUAUAGAAUUUUAACCUAAAGAUUUAGAACAAUAUUGCAAACAAAAGAAAAGUUAAACAAAGAACUCUUAAAACUAAAAUAUUUUACAUGUACAGAUGUAUUUUUAGCAUGCUCUGCCGUACCACCCCGUACUGCCUGAUACGUGGCAUACCAUAGUGUACUGAGAGAAAACUGGUAUGAAACUUUACUUCAAGUCGGUAUAAGCCCCAUACCGCCUGUACCGACCUGUACCGAGGCAAUCUAUAUCGACCUGUAUCGAGACGUACCAGUAUAAAAAUUGAGAAAAAAAAUAUUAGAGAGCUACUUCAGUACAGGGUGCUAUCGUACCGUACAGAAUCAAUAAGGCACCGAUACGGUACCUGGUACCGAGAAUACCGAUCUUGAUUUUUAGUUUUCUAUAAUUUUAUACAUACUACUAGUAUGAACGGUUACGUUGGUUUUCUUGUUGCAGCUAUUAAACACUGACUCGAAUCUGCAAUGUUAUACACAUCUAUAGAACUGCAUCUUGCAUCCUACUAGUAAUGUUUACUACAGCAAGAGAAGGAUAAAAAAAUAUAUUAAAAAGCAAUGGCAUUUAAAUGCUUCUCAAAGGGAGGAAAGGCUUCACAGCUGACACAUACAAAUGGAGCAAGCCCUUGUUUGAUAAAAAUUGCAGAAGAAACAAAAGGAGGAUCACUCCUGCGCAAUGCAUGGAAACAGUCAACCUGCAAAAAGUUAUAAAAGAGCUUUCAAUUUAAUUCGCCAUCAUCAAAAAAAUUACUUAGAAAUACGAAAUCUACUGCCUCGUGCACACAAAGCCUGGUCACACUGCCUAUCAGUAACUGAUGCCAGAGAAUGUGGGUCCUGACCACUUCAACACUUUGGCAUUAAACCUGGGCACACAGCAUAACCAGGCUGCAACUGCACAUCUUUAUGCACAUAAGCAUGUGCAUUAAGCAUUACUCAUGACAAUAUUAUAUUAGAUGUAGCCAGAUGGGAGAAACCAAAUAUUCAUGUACCACGGAUUCGACAUAAUAUUCUGGAACAUAAAGGAAAAUAGAAUCAGUAUUGCUCAGAACCAAGAGCAGUUCCACAAUCCACAUGCAUGUUGCAUACAUUCCUCUUUGCUUCCACCGAGAAAAAAGAGAAAUGCGGUACCUGCAGCACAUAAAAAAACAGACAACAGCAUUCAGAUUGGAACAGCCACAAUAGUAAAGGAACUGACAAAGACAUCACAAAAAUACAUGUCACCACACCUUAUCACAAGAACACAUCAGCAAAAGAGCCCCAAAUCAAUCUUCAAACAGUCAAAACUUAGUUUAAAAAAUAUUUUUUAUUUUUUAAAAUGAAUUACACAUAGUCCUUUCAAACUAUCACAACAGCGUUGACAAAGCAGAAAAACCUAUUAUAUGGAAAGCAAGCAUUUGUUACUCAUUUUGUUUAUAAAGCAUCUUUUUCUUUCUUUUCCCUUGACUAACUAAUAUCAGAUAGAAUAUGAUACCUUAGAAGGAUCAAAAUUUUCAAUAUAACAUGGCAGCAUUUACAAUUCCAAAGCCAAGCCACCAUCAAUGACAGAGAACUGAAGAAACGCAAGUCUAGAAAACCGAGAAUGUUCAGCUAUUUUAAGUAUUAUAUAUUUUAUACAAAACAGUAAUACCACACUAACAACUGCAAAACCAAACUUAUGUCAGUAAUACACAAUCAAAAGAUGGCAGGUCUUAGAAAAGCAAGAAGGUUUCAGGAGAAAAAAGUAUCAGACAUCUUUAUAAAUCAUCAUUAUGUUUCAAUACUUGGCAUAAAAAGAUAAACCAAAAACAAUGCUAGCUUGGUAUAUACAGAUACAGCAUCCACCCCAGAUGUGCAAUCCAUAUGUCACAUAUUUCUAACAUUAAUGCAAAUAAUAAAAAUGGUGAUUUAGGCACAAUAUAUAAAACCAUAUUACUUCUCAACUCAAACUUGUUGAAAUAAUUCAUAUGACAUAAAAAUAAACCUUCAGAAGAAGUAAUUCAAUGAAACAGAAAAGACUGCAGCAUUUUUAUCUUUGUAGAAAGACCAUGAAUAAAAAGGGAAGGUCACGAUGCUCAUCCUCAUGGCAUCACAAACAAGUAUGAACAAGCUGGAUGAUAACUUGUAUGAGAAACUUAAAAAAAGCAUAUAAAGAACUGUAAAAUGCCAAACUGAAGAGAUAAAUGGCAAGUAGCAGAAAUGAAACUGUGCACUGGUAUUCUUACCAUGCACAUUGUCUGACACAAUCAACUAAUUCUUCACGAUAAACAUUACGAGCUUCCUUUAAACGCUUUACUUGCUCAAUGCAAGAUCUUUCUCUUAUUUGUUUAUCAGUGUCAUCUAAUAGAGAGAUUGAUUGUGACUGAUGUGUCAUGUAGUAGAAUGCCUGCAUUUCAUGAAUCUGUGUCAACUUCUGUUGAUGGCAUACAAAUGCAAAAAUAGAAUUUUAAAUUCUAUUUAGUGCAAAACCAAUAGAAGAUCAAUUACAAUGAUAAAAAGAAAAAGUUCAGAAAAAGUUCAUAGUUGGUGUAGGCAAAUAAUACAAGUAUACAAAUUUUGAACUGGAGAACAAAUUAAAUGCAUCUCAAGGUACAGUCAGAUAGUAUACACAACAUGAAGCAGCUCAGAUAAGUUCGGUUAGUAUACAAAUUGACAUCUGAAAGCUGGAUACUCGAUGAAACUCUCAUAUCGUGACAAAAUAGCGAGAAUCAAACUUUAACAGUCACGACACACAAGAGAUCAACUUUGACCGCUAUUUUGCAUGGCUGCCAUCAGUUAAGCUAGAUGAGUUCAUCCUGAAUCUAAUAGACUCCAAAUAUUGCUCCAUAUAUUGCAAAGAAAGCUACCGUCCAUAACUUGCGCUCAAAGAAAACACAAACUUAAAAAAAAAAACACACAAAAUAGGCAAUAGGAAUAGAGUAAAUUUAAGAUUAAACUGAUAGUAUAAGGAUUAAAGAGUCCCUCAGAUCAUAUAUAUUGCUAAUAACUACUUGGCCUUUGCUAAGAACAAUGUAAAUGAGAGGGAGGAAAAAGGAGUUCAGAUCCCUUCAUGUGCAUUUAUGUUGUUGGUGAUCCAAGGUUAAUUCUUUUACACCCCAUGUGUAGUUCUCUCAAGAUAUACAUCCGUUGCAUUUUCUUGUGUGCGUCUGUGUCUCCGACCCAAGAGGGGAAUUCUAUGGCAGUCCAAUUAUGAACUGUUUCCCUCUCCAACCGCUAACAAUUUUCUUUAGAAUUCUCCUUAGGUUAAGGAGAUUGACUGGCAAUGGGACCACCCAGCAAGUCCACGCUUUUUAUGAGAGUGCUCUUAACAGUUGGUUUUCUUGCACAGAAAUUUCUAUCAUGAAGAUGGAAAAAUUUGAUAGAAGUUCUUUCAGCAAACCCAGAUUUUUUUAAAAUUUUAGCAACACCAAAGCNNNNNNNNNNNNNNNNNNNNNNNNNNNNNNNNNNNNNNNNNNNNNNUACUCUCUCUCUCUCUCUCUCUCUCUCUCUCUCUCUCUCUCUCUCAUGCAUGCGCAUGCUUUAUGUUUUGCUGUUUUAAUUAAAACAUUGAAUGAAACCUAAGCAUGAGCACAGUCUCUCCCUGCCUUUUAGUGGCAUGAGAACUAAGAAAAGAGACUGACAUAUCAGUUUUAGUUUUUAUAUAUUGGAGGGUGGUUUCUUUCUUGCUUUCGGCAAAUGUUUUGAAAUCUCUUCUCCUCUCUCAUGGCAUUAAAAGAGUCAAGAUCUUGAAGAUAAAGGCGCUUGGCAUAUUUAAUAUUAAUUUUGAUAUCAUGCUUAUAAUACUCUUUCAUAUUGUAUACUCAACCCAGUUAUAGUACAAGAAUGGUCUUCAAUUAUGAGUUUUCAUCUUUAAAAAAAAUACAUUUCAUACGUGCAAUGUCAGAAAUUUAUAAUGGCAGCCUGAUAAAACACAUUAAUUAUAAUAAAAAUACAUUGAUCAUUCUGUUAAAAGUUAAAACAGUGAUUCAGUAAAAUUCAUUUAUAAAUUGUUUAUUAAAGUCAUUUUCUUACUAUGCAGAAUAUGGUAAUGCUCAAUAGGUAAAACUUGCAGGCGGAAGAGGGUUGACAAAGAUGAAUCCUAGCUCCACCUGUCUAGUUGUACUCAAACCUAAGGUUAAGUAGCAAAGUGAGUGCUCUAUUUACCGCUGAACUACCAAAUAUUCGUAUACUCGGGGAGUAAGAUAUCAUGUACCAGACUACAGGGGCCUGCCAGCCUCGCACAAGUACUCUGUCAUGUCCUGGUACUGCUAGGCAACUUGGCAUGCACUAGCAUUGCUGUACAGUCAAGCACAAGAUCACAACAUCUACUAUGCUACAUUAAUCAUGUUGACUACGGGUAUGCUUGCACACAUAUUCUAAGCUGCAUCACAGUUCACCAUUAAUUUUUUUCACUUUUACAGCUCAUUCACCAAAGUCAUUUGCAUGCACAUAUCAGAUUCAACGCAUAUUAAUGUCCCUCUCCCAAGAAAUAUUUUAUUUUGCUUCUUCCUGGGUUUUUUUCCCUAAAAAAUCAAGGUAAAAAAAUACAAGGACGCCCAAAACAUUAUCUGGCAAAAAUUAUGGAGUCAGAGACCUGCAUAUCUUCAAAAAUAAUAUCCUAGACAUAGUCUUUGAAGGCAAGUUGUAAACAGCAUCGACUAGAGGACUAUGGAAGGAUGGUAUUAUUUCUUGAGAUUGUAUUGGUCUACAUAAGUGCUUCACUGGAGAGGUGUAAGUUUUUCAAUAUUAUUUAUUAUGCUUUCUUCCUUUUCCUCUUCAAGUUCUCAUCCUUUGAUUUCUUAAUAUGCAGGUGCAUGCCUUUGUCUUCUUGCUCUAACUUUUAUGACUUCUUACAGCUUCUUUGAAAAUAAGAAACUUGUCAAAGUUCGCCAAGAUAGAUCUUCAAAUUCCGAACUUAAGUCCACAUUAGAAUUGUUCUAAAUUUUCUCGUUUUUUGCAAGUCAUAAUAUAAAUAAUUCCACUACCAGCAUCUACACAAUAAUCAGUAAAUCAUUCCUUUGGCAUUACCAAACAGUAUUUUUUUCUAUAUAUAUGAAAGUAAUUAAGUCAGAUCAACAUGGCAUCAAAAAUUAAUUCGGGCUUCCCAUAAAAGGUUGGCAGCUGCUAGACUAAAUCAUAAAUACAUAAUAACAUAAUGUACAUUUCUAUAACAAGGUCAAUGGCGAUUGUUAAAGGCACAUCAGAAAUGUGCUUUAAUCCUAUUUAGAACACUAUAAAAAAAAAGAAAGGAAUAUGCACCAUCCGAUCUUUUAUGCCUGUCAGUUAAUAAUUCAAUCAUUUGAGCAAUGAAAAACAAGCUGCCCCCUAGCUUUAGUUAAAACCUUGGAUCACCAAGGACGUAUUUUCGUAGCCAUAGCAUUUCAUCAUAUUACUUUUAGUACUUUUAAUUCUUAACAUCAUCGAGAAGUCCUUUCAAGGGUUCAAGAUUUUUUUUUUGGGGGUUCCUUGGUUAUAAUUGCAUGGCAUACUAAAAGUUCAUAAUUUAACAGUCAUAGUGCGUCGUCUGUUACUUCAAGUAUGAGCAAUUCAAAUUCAUAAUCCUUCAAGUCUGCAUAAACAGGUUUCUGGAAGUAUAAUAUUCAAGUUAUUUGAAGGUCCAUUUGACAAGAAUUCUCCCAAGAUGUAACAAUGUAGUCCCCCUGUUCAAUAGAUAGGUGUGUUUAGCACUACCAGGAUGAUCAAAAAGUAGCACACUUUACAUGAGGAUCGCAUAGAAUGAACUGUGAACUAUUUCAGAUCAAUUAUAGCCAAGGUCCGCCGUACCGGUACCGAUACCGGUCGGCGUACCGGUGGCGGCCCGGACCGGUCCCGUACCGGUCACGUACCGGUCACAUACCGGUUCUCCAACAAUAAACCAUCGGUACCGGAUUCCACGCUGAUUUAGUACCGGUCCCAAAUCGGACCGGUACGUACCGGCCGGUACGGACCAGUACGGCAGACCAUGAUUAUAGCUACUCAAAAACAAGACACCUAUACAUAUUAUACACACAUAUAUACAUAUUGACAUAUAUAUACAUAUUAUAUAUACUUAUAUAUCUACAUAUAUGAGAUGGACUUUGCUCCUCUGAAGGGAAGAGGUUAACGUAUUUUUUUCGACUCCAUAAUCAAUAAUGGAACUUCCAAAUAGAAGAUCCGUACGGUCAUCAUGAUCUAUACCACUAAAGUGCCUAGAAAUCAAAAAUCAUGUAUUUUGAUGGUUUCAAACCAAUGCAUCAUGGAGACACAAAAUGGAUAGUUUCCAUUAUGCUAGUGUGGUAAAAUACAUAAUAAAUCAUUUAAACUAAGCAUCCACCUUAUUGAUCCUGGUCUACACACAUUAAGACAUAUAUAGAUUGAAAAUCAAUAGAUUUUAAUGCUUAGAUCAUAACAAAACAUGAUCUUAUAUUAUUUUAAUUGUUCAUUUUUGUCCAUAUGAUACAUAGGUUAAAGGCUACUAAAACACAUAAUUCAUGGUUUUUAGGCACUUUUAGUGGUAUAGAUCAUGAUCGACCAUGUGGAUCUUCGAUUUCGUUGCCCCAUUAUUGAUUUUGAAGUCAAGAAGAGUAAGAGAAGCAAAGUCCAUUCCGAUACAUAUCCUCACCUUAGUACUUUCGCCUUCUUCAGUUAUUAUAAUACAUGCUUUUCCUUCUUUGUCCACAUCAGGAAAACUAUUGACCUUUUUUUGCUUAUUCAUUCCUAGAUGUAGUAAAAAGAGAGAGAGAAGAAAAUUUUUGUCCUAGAUAGACACAAAUGCCAUGGUUUGAUACAUGAAAGAUGGAAGGAAAUAGGUGCAAUGAUAUUGAUCAUUCUGUUCUUUAUGUUUGAGUUGAUUUUUAUCAAUUCAUCACACGGUACUACACGCAUGAAACUAAAUGCAUAUCUAGGAAUAUAAAGGUUUAUUCUCGGUGUUCCAAAACUAUGAACAUUGAUACCAGCAUCCGAUUUAUCAAGUUCUAAAAGCCCAAAACAUCAAAAAUUCAACCUUUUAACAUCAUAGGUGCAAUCACAUUUCCAAAAAUGUACAUAUAAUGGAUUAUUUUAAAAAUCACAAUCCAUCAUUCUAACGUACAUAGUAACCAUUAAAUCUAAGAUUUAAUAUGAAAUGAUUGAAUUAUACCCUAGCAAAUUUUAAGAGUAUUGAUGCUAGAAAAUAAAUAUAGCAGGAUAUGCAAAGAGACGAACAACAAUGGAUGAUACAAGAAUUUAUUUAAAUUAGAAUGCCUGUUUUGCUCACAUUUUGCAAAGCAAGACAUUUAAGUAAAAAAUAACAAUGAUAAUGUUUAUCCUCCUUUGUGAUAUUCCACUUUAUUGACCAUCAAUAGGCCACCAUCAUUAUGUUGCAGACUGGUUAGAAAGUGUUAGAAACCUAGUGUUGCAAGGAAAAGGCAGUGGGUUGUCAACAACGGAAGUGACAUUAUAAAUUUCCCAAUUUUUUGCCAAGUUUUCAAGAUGCACAUUGUUCGUGUAUGAAAUAGAAAAAGAUUACAAAAGAAAUUCAGUUUUUUAUCGGAUUUGACCCAAGUUCUUGAUGCUUGAACUAUACAAGAGAUGCACACUCUAAUCUCAGCAAGAAAUCAUCAUCACCAACAGUAAGCAAAUUCAAGGCAUGGUAUAUCACUUCAUACAGAAGAAAUACAAAACAAUAUAUGCAAUUGGCAUAUGCAUAGUUUUAUGACCUAUGGAAGAAAAGAUAAUAUACGAGUUCAAUUUACUUGCCUGCCUGAAGUUUGGAGCAACAGCUAAAUGAUACAACAAUAGCAUAAUAUCAAGCAACUCCUCUUCUCUUAAUGUGCCUGAAGAUAAUUGAUUGGUCAUCGGUACACUCUCCAAAUGCUGCAAGGAUUGAUAUCCAAAGUCAGUUUCCGACUGAUCACUUGAACUUGGUUUAUCUGCAAUCUCAUCACUCAAACUCCUCACACUGCACUCUGCUGCAACAUGAGCUGAUCUCUCUGGAAUAGGACUGCAAGUCCCCUUUGAACUUUUAGUUGCAUAUCUGAUAUUAUCUUUUGAAGUUUGGACAACAUCAACAUCAGAUAUUGAACAGCAGCAAGGCUUUUGCCUUGUAGAAUGUGUUAUUCUUGUAUCUUCAUCAUCCAUGCAGCCUUCAUCCCAAAAUACCUUUUCAGUUUCUAAACCAUUGACUUGGUAAGACUUUAAUACAUGAUUCACUGAGCCUCCAAUUCUAGGAGUCCUAAUGCAAUUUGGAUCAGCUUUGAGAAACAAAUCCACAGGAAAGCUUCUCUUUCCGCCCCUAUGAAGAAAUCCACCAUCUGUUCCAGCAUUCAUUCUAGAGCCCUUCAUCGAACCAGGGAAAUCUUCCAUGGAAAACCCUUCAGAUAGGAAAUGGAGGAUUACUGUAUACAAAGAGACAAGUAUAGAAUUGCUUGAAACACCUGAAGGAGGAUUCUUAUGAUCUGCACCUCUGACCUUUAAUAUGAGAUUCUGUAAAAAUGUCCUAAACACAGACCCAGGUAACUGAGGGGGAGAUACUGGAGGUAUGAAAUGUAUGACCAGACUACAGAUUUCCUGUUGCAUUUCUUCAAUCUGCAUAUUAUGCAAGCCUAAUAUUAAUCUUGAUACAUGUUUAGGAUAAAUAUGUCACUUCAUGAUUCCUAAACUUAUUUUCUAAUGCACUAUUUUAACAAAAUAGCAGUGGAGUUGUUGUCCCUAAAUUGUGGACUUAGGAGCUGAUCGGCAUGGCACUGUACAGAUUGUGUCAAUGCCUUACUGAAAAUGUAGCACUGACAAGCACCAACUGCAUGCCAGUACUUUGCCUGCUAACAUGAUGGAUGUAAAAGCAUGCCAAUCACUUGCACAAACAGCACAGCAUGAUCCAUAUGGUGCAAGUGCCAGCACUCAGUACUUGAAUCCUUUUCCUAAAUGCACCAAGGGGAAGCAAUAGUUAUAACAGGCAUACUAGCAAGGCAUGAAUCAUAACAAACAUUAUUCCAUGCAUAAAUAACCCACACAAACUAAUAGACAUGUAACAACACAAAACAUAAUUGAAAAAAAAAAUAUAUGUAUGUAUAUUAUGUGGAAACUUGUUUAGUGUCAUUUUAGAAGAGACGCUUUAGAGACCAAGAUAUAAGAAUUCUCUUACCAGACUUUUGGAUUUAACUAUAUCUGGGUAUAAAAUAAUUUAUAAGCUUUUAACAUUUGAGAAAUACCUCGAUAUUUAACAGUUGAAAUCAUGGUAUGCCGUACCAGCCCGGACCGGUUCGUACUGGCCCGUACUGGCCAGUACGAAUCGGUCCGGGCUGGGACCGAUACCGGAUCAGCAUAGGAUUCGGUACCGGAAGCUUUUCAUUGAGAAACUGGCCGGUGCGACUUCCAUACCAGUACGGAACCGGUACAAGACCGGUAUGUACUGGUACGUACCGAUCCGAGCCGCCACCGGUACGCCGACCGGUACCGGUACAACGGACCUUGGUUGAAAUUUUGACCUAAAGCCAAAAAUCUAAAAUUGAACUAAAUAGCAAUUCUCUUACCAGACUUUUGGAUUUGACUAUAUCUAGGUAUAAAGAAAAUCAUAAGCUUUGAGAAAUACCUCAAUAUUUAACAGUUGAAAUUUUGACCUACGGCCAAAAAUCUGAAAAUGAACUAAAGCAGAAAAUUCAACUUUUUAUCCUACUGGAUUUUGAAUUUUUGAGUAUUUCUUUUGAAUUCAACUAGGGGGUUGUUCUUUACUUGCAUGUAAUACCUUCAACAAACAUUUAUCUAAAUGGUAUUCAUAUAAACAAACCUAUCUAUCUCUUUAUUUUGUAGUCUGGAUGCCAACUCGUAGGCUCAACUUACUUGAACUGGCAAUGAACCCAUCAAAACGACCAACUUAGUCAACCACCUUAGGGUAACCAACCUUCUUGAUAAACAAACUUAGUGGGCCCUACUUCCCAAACUGCCCUUCCAAGUCUACAAAUAGAAGCUAAUAGUGUGGUUAAGGAGAGAAGAGGAAGAGAAGACUGGGCUUUUAGGAGAGUGAAGAAGGGAAGCUUGCACCAGGAAUUAUGAAGUUCAUUGGUUUUAUAUAAUAAGUGACUUUUCCAUACUGUUAAAAUUUAAUAUUAAAAAAAGUUGUAUGCCAUUUUUCAGUCUCUUGGUCGCUUUUAAGUAUCAAUAAGAAUCCCAUUUCCUAUGGUCCUUUCAAAAGUUUAUGGAUCCUUUGCAAGUAUUUCUUCCAUAUGUUUCGAAAAAUGUCUUUUUGGUGUUCUUAGACGUAUUCUAUAGCAAGUUCACAUGUCAUUUUGAAUUUCUAAAACCUUGCAAUCAUUUCCAAAGUUUAUGAUCUUUGAAAUUUCAUCUCUACAGUUGGCAUCAUUACAAAGUUAUAAUGAAACCAUCAUUUAAUUGUCAAUGAUUAUUUGGAAAUCAGGACUUAGUUUAAAAACAGCUUCCAUUUCUAUUUUUAAAAAAAAUGAAACUAUGCAAUACUAUUUCUAAAAUCGUUUUUAACUUGUCUAUGUCUUCUGACUUGUAAUCAUAUCUUUAUCAGACUCUUUUUUACAUUUGGUCAUGAAAUAAAGUGCCUGAUUACCACUAGGGCUUUCUAAUUAAGUAUUUCAUAAUGUCAGUGAAUUUUUAUCUAGUGUAAAAAAAAAUAUCAUACUUAACAUACAUGAAUGGACCAUUAGCUAGCUGGCAUAUGAGUGGCUUCAUUUGACUUAUCAAUAAAAAGCCUCUAGGUAGGCAGUACUGAUGACCUCAUUCCAAUUAUAGAUGAUGGUACAUAUGGACCCCUAGCCAAAUAAUAUAUGAGUGGCCUCACUUGAAUUGUCAAAAAGGAACUUCUAGAUCGAUGACAUACAUCGGCCCUUGGUCAAGUGGAAUAAGUUGACCUCAAAGAUAGGAGUAGCCCUAGCUAUAUUAGUGAACAGGAUAACAUAAGUAGCCUCAUCCGAAUUAUCUAUGACACCUCAAUUGCAUUAGCAAUGAGGAUAUGAGUGGUUUUGUUCUUCUUGGCAUCUAUUAUUUUGGUGCAACUUUUUUGGUUCUUAAAAAGAAAUAGUUGAAAAUGUUCAGUUGUAUGAAAUGAAUUUCUAGGUCAAAUUUAAAACAAAAGCUUUUUUAGGGUUUUUUGCAAGUCCCCUUGCAAAUACAGCUUAUUGCAUAUUUACCCUUUGAAAAUCAUUAUUUGUAAUAUAUACCGUUCAAAUCAUCUUGUUUUCACAUGAACUCUCCUCCCAUUAGAUUUUUAGUUAAUGAUGUUAAUAAAAAACUAUUUUGAGUAUCAUUUGACAUUAUUAACCUUUUUAUGUUAAUACUCAUGAAAAAUUUAAAUUCAAAUCGUAUUGAAAAGAGCUAGAAUUCUAUAUAAUUUUUUCAAGGAUAUUGAUACAAAAGGGUAAUAUAGUUAUUUUAUACUUAAAAUGGUUAUUUAUCAUAUACAAUAUAUCAAUUUUCUGUUUACUUUUGAAGAUGCAUGUACAAUUGACUAUAGAGAAUUUUUAUCUAAAAGUUAUUGGUUAUCAUAUAUUGUAUAGUUAGUUGCAUGAUGUUUGAUCAUAUGACUUCUUUGAUGAUAAUUAAAUUUUAAGCUGAGCUCCAUCAAGUAUGAUGAUCACACCUUAAAAUUUGUGUAAAGUCAAGCCUCAAGUCAUGACAAGAAAUGUAACAUACUUGGUAACAAGGAAAAGAAAAAAAAAUUUGUGUUGCUACGCAAAGAGAAAGGAGGGAUUUCAAAAGAAAAAUAUAUAAAUUCGAAUGGUCAAGUUUAUCAUCAUUCAAUGAAGGGAGAGAAAAACAACUGAAUAAAUUAUGGAUAUAUGUAAGAAGCCUGAGGGUGGCAGUUCUUGUCCAAAAUUUUAAUUUGGAUUUAAUUCUACUAUAGAUUUUCAACAGUGUAACUUGAGUUUCGAACAACUAUAGUAGUAUAUGAUUUCGGAGUGCCUAGAUAAGAUGCAUCUUCAAAUAUGGUAGACACACCAAAUGGGCCUGUUUUGACAAGCCAUCUGGCCUGAAAGGGCUAAGACAAAUUAUAAACAUAAGUAGUUGCAGCAUUUGAGUCAACGGUGGAGUUAUGACUACGUACUUGGGAGACCAAGUACAAAGAGGGGGGAAAUGAAUGGACCAAUAAAAUUAUACUACAAUUGUUAUUCGUCUCCAAUAACCAUGACUUAGUUUACUAUAAGGCACUACGAUCUCGAUAUUUUCCAUUAUUAGGAUACAAGGGCUCAAAGAAAUUUAAUUUUGUUUUAAAUUAUAUUAUUCACAUGUUACUCUACCAAAUAGUGAAGCGACUAUUCUAGCAAGAAUAAGUAAUACAGACCUUGUGGACCACCAUAUAAUAAUUUAAUUAUAUUGCAAAAAGAAGGAAUAUAUGUGGUGAAAUGACUUUUACCAAGUCGAAAAGUGGAAGGAAAAUCAUCUAUACUAAAGAAGUGAAGCCAAGACAACAUGGAACUUUGAGGAGCUAGAAGAGAGACAAAUGGUGAGAAACAGAGCCCAGAUCACUGGGCUUGGUUUUUUAUUUAAAAAAAUACAGAAAGAUAUGGCUCUCUAACAUAGCCUUCAGAUUUAUAUUUUCAUGAGCAGUCUAGCUUCAUUCUUAAUGUCAUUUCAACAGAUGAAGGGGUCAACAUAGGCUUCUAUAUGACUAAUAAUACCUGUCUGAACAUAUGAUAUUACAUGGGCGAUCCAUUUUAAACAACUUCAUUUUUUUUCAUAAUUAAUCUGAGCCAAUUGCUAUGGUAGUGUGGCUACAGAGGCAAAAAGGAUUGUCAGGCUGCGCCUCUAACUUGAGCACAGAAUAGUGAAAAAAUGACAGAUGCACUGCUGCUGAUGAGUGAUAAUUGCAUGAUUACGUCGAAUUCAGAAUAAGAGGAGCUUUUAAGUUGUCAUCAGCAGGUUUCAAAACCUCAAAAUAUACUACCAGCACUGCCAAAAGAUAAAAGAGCAUGAAUAAACUUCAAUCACUCAGCAAGAAAAUUGAUUAUGAUAAUGGAAUGUCGUGUAGAUGAAUAAAAAUACAACCCUUUUCUAAACACAAUAGCUUUUCAGUUUAGAUCAAUAUAUGGUGAAUGUUGAUUAAAUUCUAUCGCAUUAAGUACAGAACUUUUCAAAAUCUUUGACGGCUGUCCAAGUCUCCGCAGACCAACUUGAAACUCUGAUUGAUGGCAUAACAUAUGUCACCCAAAAGAUAACCACUGAUCAUGCCAUAUUUAUAUUAAUGAUAUCUCAUAGAUGAAAAGUUGUUUUCCUUUGCUAUACAAGCUACUUAUAGAGAGAGCAAAAUACAUUUUAAUCUUGAACCCCAAUGUAAAACCAAGAUAGUUCCUACUUUAAAUAAUGAAAAGCAUAAAUACCAAUCAAAAACAGCAUAUAAUACCUUAUUUACAGCUGCAGACAAUGCUGUCAUUGUCAUCAUCAUGCUACUUUCAGAACCAAUGUCUUCAGAUGAACCAGGCCACCAAACUGAUGGAAUAAGGCUGUGCAAAUCCUGCUUGUUCGGGCUCUUUCUGGACAGGAACCCCUCCAGUGAGAAUCCAAAAUCAGGUGACUUCCACAACAAGACCAUCAUGUCUUCACGCCUAAGAAUAUGGCAGGCCAGUGCUAGAUAAGGAUAUGAUCCAGAAUAAGGGCAUUCCAUCAGUACAAUUGGUGCCACUUUGCAACUACAAGAAAGUGCCACAAUUACAUGCUGGAACAAAGAACUUGAUCCUGAAAACUCUAAAAAAAGGUCAAUAAUUUGAUCCAAAGAUGCAUAAUCAUGUGGUUCCUGUGCUCCAAAUACUUCUAAUAAGAAUGAUACAAAGGCAUCCCAUGCCAUAUAUUCAGCACACUCCUCACUUUCCUUGAUUAAGUUAAAGAACUCCUCGCAAAUCCCACGAGAUAUGGAAGAGAAUAGUUCCUUGAGCGGUGCAAACCUUUUCAACCUCCUAAAUUUCUCAAAGUAUGCUGACUCAGAUUUAUCCAAGCACUGUACCUCAAAUAGCCUGCACAAACACUGGAGCAAAUAAGUAGCAAAGUAUCUGGAACUAGGUGGAGCCUGGAUAGGAAGAAACCCAUCGAUCGGGUACUUGAAUGGCCGGGCCCCAAAAUUCAAAUCACAGCACUCUCCUUUAGAAAGAGAAAUUGCAGGAUAGUACCCAAGCCCACGCUCCAUCUUACGAACACCAUCGAAUGCCACACCAAGAGAUUCCCCGUUCCUAUAAAAGGAAAUCAUGUCAGCAUCCAAAUCGAUGCAACAUCCAAUUACAUCACCAACAACCCAUGACUGACCAUAGGACUUGGGUUCCUUGUUCCAUUUGCUUACCCUCUUCCCAUCAAAAGCAUAUGAAUCCUCUGCAUCUCCAACACCUUUGCGAUCAGUGAAGGGACAUAAAAUGGUGGCCCAUCCAAGCUGCUGAACCCCUGAAGUUUCUAAAGUCACUUCAUACAUCCACUUCCCCUUCCACACACAGGAAUUAGCUCGGGCACUACUGAACUCAGCAAGGCUUUCUAUAAGCAGUGGCUUCCUUAUAAUCUUGAUAUCUCCACAAAUGCUUGCAUCAUCUAUAACGACAACAUCCGGGCCUGACCCAUGUUUCGCAAUAGACAUGCCAUCUCUGUUACGGCUAUCUACUGCUGGAUCAAGCUGAAACCUUGGCAGUUGGUUCCUCAAAAUGGAACGGAUGAAUUCAACAUCAAUUGAAGUACCAGACGGACAAAUUGACUUGUAAGGCAAAUCAAAUAUAUGCUCCAGAGUGCGUUCCACUGACUGAUUACCAAUGUCAUCGCAGUAUGAAAUCAAGUGAGAAUUUUGAGAAACUCCUCUCGGAUCAUCAUCCGACAAUAAAACAGCCAGGCCCGACAAGAAUCCAUUAUGCCUUAGACUAUCUUCAGCCAUGAAAUUUCACGGCUAACAAACUAUACUUUUUCCGCUUCCUCAACACUAUCAGCCUAUUCGACAAUAAAUUACUAUUAAUUUCUUGCAAGCCGCUUCUUCUUCAACCCAUUAAAAUUCAAAGAGGUACACAAUCUGUUAUCAAAUAACAUAAAAAGCUGCAAAACAAACAAAUUCAAAGAGAAGUGAGGAAAAAUCCACAUUUGAUCAGUCUUCAUCAAAUUCAAAGAGAAAAAUCCUAAAGAAAAGGAUAAAUCAACCCAAAAGGCACUAAAUUCGAGAAUUCUCGACAUUUUCAUCGAGAGACACAAAGAAUCAAGAUUUCGAUCAAAGUAAAGCAACAGUUGAUAGAGAUAUCGAGCAGAGGAGACGGACCUAGGGGCGCCAGGGCUCCGGAAGCCGAAUUCUUAGCGAAGCAGAACUAGGAUUUCACAUAGACCAUGAAUAGGGCCGCGCGGAGGGAGCAUUAGGGUUCGCGGACGCCAUGGACGAACAAGAAGAGAAGGAACAAAUAAAACGGGAAGAGAAGAGACGGGAGAAAUGGGUUCAAUUCUUUCAACGAAUAUGGAAGGCCACGCGGGCGCCCGCACGCUGACCCUCGGAGGCGGUGCGAGGAGUCAAUCAAAACGGGUCGACGGGUCGUGUGGCGAGCUAAGGGAGAUGACGUGGCGACCGCACCUUCCUCCGAGUUCCAGCGCCGGCCCUAGGAGAGAGAAUUCGCACGUGCGACGGGGUUAUUCUACUCGCGAUUUUCUCGGCGCGAUAUUUCGAGGGCUGGCUCGAUGGGAUCGCAGCACCGGUGGUGAGCCGGAACAGGUGCCGUACUGGCUUUUUCUCCCAUUUGGUUGGAGGAGUUCGCUGGUUUCUGCUUUAGCUUUUGUUUGCUUUGGCUCAGCGAAGCGGAAAGCUCUGCCCCGCCAUUAAAAGCCUUCUCGGAUUGUGACCGCAUAGUGAUGUGACUUUAAAGCGAUGCAUGUAGAUGUUGCAAUAUCAAUUUAGGCUAGGUUGGAGGAGUUCGAGGCUAAAUUGAAAUGGGAGUUGUGGUGACUUAUGGAGGCAGCACAAUGUUGAGGAGGCGGUGGGACGUGGAUCAAGCUAGGCCAAUGAAUAGGAUCAUUGAUGCAUACACCAUUUUGAGAGAUGCCCAAAUUGGCUAUUGGAUCCAUUUAUAUCAAUUUACUUGAUCUUAGUGUAUAUUAUGUGCCAAGGUGCCUAGCCCUUCUCGCAUCUACUUUGUUGGGGUGGAUUCAAGUUCGUCAUUUGAAUUAGAUAUUAGGUUGGAUGAAAUUAUUUUAUUCUCUUUCUUAAAAAAUUCGACCGGCUCGUUAAGUUUUAAUAAAUUUUAUUUUUUAUAUUUUUUCCCGAUCUACCUUAAACGACCCAACAAGAAAAAACUAUACUUUUUUAUUUAACCGGACAAUAACACGAUGCUUAUUUCAUAAGAAUGUACUUAUUGCUGCUAAAUUUUUGAACCGAGGUCGGGACACUGCUCAACUAACUUUGAGGUCGGUAAGAACCGAGCUGAGUGAGGUCGGAUGAAAUCGAGGUGAGGAAGAACUUGUUGCCUUCAAAGCUAACUUGCAAAAAAUUCACUUGACACAAAACCUUCCAAUACUUAAGUUAGAAUAAUAGAGCAACAGUGUGGACGAGAAAAAAUUUGUAGAAAAGUGUUCUCCAAAAAUAAGUUUUUUUAGAAUUUCCGAGCUAUCCUUUUAUAUAGAAUAGUAUACUAAUUCGUUAUUUGAUUUGGCGCAACGUGUCUUAAUUGUAUGGUAACAGUCGGCUGCACAUUAACGACAUAGUAACCAUCCCACGUGAGCACGUGGCCGCAAGUACGCCGAUCAUGCAUUGACUACGGUAUUGUUAUAACUGUUGGUCUUUAUUAAUAUGUGCAGAGUGGCAUCUCGAUAUUCACCAAAGUAGUUUAUCUAUGUUAAUAUCGGGGUCAAUGAGAUCUGUCUAGAUCAAAAUAUUCAAUAUUUUAUCUACAAUACUAAAAAAAAAGAAAACUUUUUGGCGAUCAGAUGUAUCGAGUUGAAUGAGUUGACAAAUCGCUCAUCCUAUAUUUCUUUUCGGUGCAUGACAAUAUAUUUCUUUGAUAGAAAUAUUGGAUGGAGACGCACGCAAUGUCCGCGAGCCUCCAUCAAUUCCCAUGCAUACAAUGUACGGGAGCUCGUUUUUGCGGGUACGCUACGCGUUUCCGCCUGCCAAUCAUGGCAAAUUUUUGAAAAAUCACCUAGUCAUCGUCUACAAAACACGACACGCUGCUUUCUAGAAAGACUAGAAUGCCCGAGUUAACGUGCCUCAUUGAAAAUUGAAAAAGGUAAUCAUCCAUCCUUGCAUAGCUCACGUCACCAAAGAAGCCCAACUACACUGACCAUGCGGUUGCUGGAAACUGGACCCGAGAGUGGCCGCAGACCGAAAAAGAGGAGCCCGGUAGGAGUUGCGAUGGCGGACAGCUUUUUUCGGAGAACCUAUAAGAAGCCGAUAGCCGGAGAUUUCGGUACCGACCCUUCAAUGCUUAAGUCAAAAAAAAAAUUUUUGGUGGAGCAAGUAGAAAGAUUACCUAAAAGAAAAGAUCCCCUUUUAGAAGAAAGAAGUCCCCUUUUUAUAAGAGGAGUGUAGGGGUUGCCUGUGACUGGACCUGACUGUGCGAAUUAAUGAGUUACCGUAGUGAUUGGACGUGAUUGUGUGAAUUAAUGCAUUACCAUAGACGGCCCGAGAUUUUGGGCUGGCUGUCGGUCCGUUGAUAUCGUGCGUAUUUAAUCAUUGACAGUCGUUGAGGCGGAGAUCGCGGGAUUGGACCCCGGAUGAGGAGGAGGGGACUUGAUUUCCGGUGGAGUGGGAGGGUCUGCUUCUUCCUUUGACUAGGUCUUCUUUGGCCUUAAGGUCGAUCGGGCUCAACUUAGCUGAGAUCAAGGCUGCAAGCUGUGGGGCCAGGCGCCUUGAGAGUUGCUGUCGUCGCGCUCGCCAUCAAGUGCCGGCAAUUUAUCCACGUGUUUUGAGCAAUCCAUUUUUCCCCCAACAAUACCAAUCAAAUGUUGCAUGGGACAUUGAAAUAUGUGUGAUGCAUGUCAAAAUAUUUUAGUUAAAUGCAAUUGCAUCACAACUUCUUGGCUAGAAAGUAAAUAAGCUUCAUCAUGAUUUAUAAAAAUAAUACCCCACCAUUUACCUGCCGAAAGCUAUAAAUCGUAUGUUACAUUAUGUUGUACAAACUAGCCAUUGUUGUCCCUGGAAUAAAUAUACCGUGGCCACACUUACGCUUCACUUCUUCCCUAAAACGAGCUUUUAACGUGCAUGGUCCAUAAGGUUGCACGAUUUUGAUUAAAAGUACAAUUACUGGUCGUAUUUGUUUUUCCUGAUCAAUCCAUGCAGGUGUGGUUGGAAAAAAUAAAGAGAGCACAAAUUUUUGCAUUGGCGGUGGAGAAAGAAGUAUGACCGGAAGAGAGCAUUUUGAUCCUCUCCACCCUUUGAACACAUAAUAUCAUGCACUUAGAGAUAAAAGUGAAUCAGAUAAUAUCCAUCUGGAUCUACUUUUAUAUCCAAAUUUUUUUUUGGAUAUAGAUAAAACUUUGAUUAUCUAACUUAUAUCUAUAUCUAUAUCCAUACCUGUCAAAAAAAAUAGAGAGACAACUAUGCGAUCCGUAUUCGAAUAUCCGAUUUUAUUUAUAACUUUAUUUAAUUUUAUAUAGCGCUCAUAAACUUCUAAAGAAAAUAAAUGACCAUAUUAAUAUACUAUUAACUUAAUUUAUCAUCCACUUGGUAAUAUUUUUGAUUUUAUGGUCAUAAAGUUUAAUUAUUCGAUUUAUAUUCGUAUUUAUAUUCAUACUUUUGGUAUUCAAUAUCUGUACCCGUUUAAAACAAACAUGGACAUAAUUUUUUGCAUCCAGCCAACAUCUAUAUCCAUAUCUGUAUUCGUCAAAAAAAAAAAAUAUGAAUAUGAAUAUAUGUUAAUAUUCGAUCCGUAUCCAAUCUGAUUUUAAUCCUAUAUACAAUACUAAGAGUAUAUGGAUAUGUACAUGGAUAAGCAUACACACACCAUGGCAUGACAUAUGAUUAGAACCAAUCUAGAAGUACUCUGGACAUAUAUUAAGUGACUUAAGAUUUUGUAUGCUAGAAUUUUCAUGAGCGUUACCAGUGAUGGUUCUCGCACAUUCUUUUUUUAUGCUUGAUUGUCACGCUUGUUUAGAAUUCCAUGAUGCAUCAUAAUAAUUUAGUCAUGCAUGAAAUGCACAAUUUUCUUAAAAUUGUGAGAUCUUUAUGAGCCAAAAAAAAAGAACAGGAUUUACAUGUACUCUCCUAUCUUUGUCCUGGUCCUUGCUAAUAUGGUCUAAUAGUAUCAUCGUGCAUUCCGAUAUUUCUUCUUAUUUUGACUUAAAUUGCAAAUGCUGCUAUCUUGUGUUUCAGAUAUGGGACCUCUCCGUAGACGAUGCACCUGCCGAUCGAAAGAUUAAGUUCCAUAAUCUUUUCAUGAGGGCCAAUCAUGACUACAAAUCCUGGAUGACGCCGAAACCCUAACUCAAAUGGUUAAGAUUGGAUGUCAUUGAUGCCAAAUUCCAAUAUGACGUUACAUAAUCAAAAUGAGUCUAUUCAAACUCAAAUAUCCAGCCAUCAUCUUUCUAUGUUGAGAAAUCUACUUCAGUGAUAUGAAGUAUUUUGACCCGAGCCCGGCACGUGACACCCAUGUAACUUAGUAAAAAAGAUGAUAGCCCCCACAUAGUCAACAUAGGAAUGCCAUUUGUUGGAAAAAAAAUGAAUCGCCCCGAAACAGGUGAGCAUCCGACCUGGAGGCGUCCGACUUCAAGACGCCCAACCAGAGGCCCGACCUCAGGGCUCCCGACCUGGCGCCCGGCCAGGCGCUCGACUCCGAGACGCCUGACCUGGGCACCCGACCUCAGCAUCCUUGACCUCGGAAGCCCGACCUCACUAUCCAUCCGCUGCGGUCACAUCCUUCUGCAGCUCGAUCAGGGACCAUGUCCUACAACAAUUAAAGCGCAUGGCCUCCGUCGAUCUCCGGCUCACUCAACAAUUAAGGCGCAUGGUCUCCGCAAAUCUCCAGCUCACUCAACAAUUAAUGCGCAUGGCCUCCGCUGAUCUCCGUCUCACUCAACAAUCAAUGCGCAUGCUAUCUACAGAUCUCAAGCCCUCCACGGCAAGCAGUUGGCCCACUCAGCCACGUUCGAUCAGCCACGACGACUCACUGGCUCCGGUCUAAUCUCCCACGGCAAUGCAUUAAUUGACACGAUUGUGCAUUAAUUCACACGAUCAUGCUCAAUCAUGACGGUAACCCGUUCGCCCCAUCACACGCAGGUAAUCCUGUACCCCUCUAUAAAAAAGAAACCUCUCCCUCUUAGAGCGGGCCCGGACUCUAAAACUCCAAAAAAAUACUUUCUUCCUCUCACACAUUAGCCCCCUCUGACUUAAGCAUCGGAGGGCCGGCGCCGGAAACCCCGGCCACCGGCUUUUUGCAGAUUCCCUGGAGAAUGCCACCCACCAUCUCACGCUGGAGCUCCACUUUUUCAUCCACUGGUCGCCUCCAGGUCCAAUUUCCAGUAACACCAUUCAUGCCAUAAAAUGUAACCAUUCAGCUCUUAAGUUGCAAUGUUGAGAAAUCAACCUCUGUGGUAUAGAAUCAAAUGAAAAUUUAACUGUGACAUGCAAGUUGGUAAAAUAAAAUAUUUUUUUUAUAUAUUUCUGACUUCAUAAGAUUUUUAGGUACCGCGGCGUAUUCCAGCCCAAGCCUUGUGCGAGGUUGAUCUGGUGGUCAUGGAUGGACUUUAUUCACGCGAUUCCAGAGGAAACAUGGCACUAGAGCCUUCAAGACACACCCCAAGACAUGACGACCGGCCAUCGUUGCUUAGCCGAGGAACCACGCCAAACAAAAUGAUUUUUGAAAGCAACGAUGCCAGGGAAUUCACGAGGGUCAUUAAAAGAGACCAAGAAGAAUCGUGGCCUCUUGUCAAUGUGGUUCACAAGAAAGAGCGUUUAGGUACUUAAAUUUUGAUUGAAAUGGGCCCAACCACAUACAAUUUUUCUUUCUUUUUUUUUAAAGGUGGGGGAAGAAAAAAAAUAGAGACAAGAUCACGUAAAAUAACUCAAAUAUAAUUGGUGACAAUUUAGGGGUGCAAAUGGGUCGGAUUAAUCCGUGACCUGAUCCGACCUAUUUUACAGGACCCGUGGGGCAGAUUGGGUUCUAAAAUUGGAUCUAUUUCAGUUUCGAAGCUGCAUUUAGAUUUUCUGAAUCUGGCUCGAUCCGAUCUGAUUCAUCUAUUUAAAAUUUGAGUAAUUUUAGAUUUUCAAAUCUAGGACUCGUUCCGAUCUGCUUCGAUCUGAUCCAAAUUUAUAAAACUAUUUAGGCUCGCGAGCCGUAGAAGUGCAAGCCAAACACGUCAGCCGGAGUUGGGCCGUUCAAGAGCUAUGUGUCUGUUAACUCUUAAAGGUCCAACGUGUCUUCUACCGCGAUUUUUUAGCUUCCAACCACUCCCUCUUUGGAUCUGAACCCCCUUUGAAUUAUUUGUUUACCUUGCACCACCCUAACCCCACGAUGGAAAAAUUAGAAAGAAAAUAAAGGAGAACACUACCCCAAUAGCCUCCUCCUCUGCCUUCCCCUGCUCUCCUCCUCCCAUGGAGGAACCCCAUCCCACUCUAAGCCCCAAACCCCAUCCUCUACUGCACGGCCUUCCUUCCUCCUCAAGACCCCCCUCGCCCUCUCUCCGCGUCCUCCUCCUCUCGCACGAUCAUCCCCAGCCGCACCAAAUCCAACUUCGCUCUCUUCGACCUCUCCUCCCCACCAUCGGCGCCCAACUGAUGGAGGACAACUUCAGGGAGAAAAGGGAAGAAGGAGGGAGAAGAGAGGAGGAGAAAGAGAUUGUAAAGACGCAGGAAGAAGAGGCUUUGGAGACGCAGGAAGAAAGAAGGGAAGAAGGGCUCACGCCCAGCGUGAGGAAGAGAAGAAAGUCGGCCAAGCCAAGAAGUUUUUUUAUAUCUUUGAUCAAUGCCCUAAUUUAUAAGGGGUGUGGCCUUUAUAUAGGCCUUACAUCAAGUCCAUCAAUUGAUGACAUUCCAAACUUGGGCCCUUACAUCAAUUCAAUCAAUUGACUAAGUUAAUUAAUUGGUUACAUACCAAACUUGGACCCUACAUCAAUUAAUCACUUAUCAACAUUGAUCUAAUCAAUUGAUCUAAUUACUUGACCCAACAACUAACCAAAUUGACUCGACUAAUAACAAAAGCAACUAACCAAAUUGACCCGACCAAUAGUAAAAGCAACUAACCAAAUUGACUCGGCCAAUAACAAAAGCAACUAAUAAUGCAAUAAAGUAGAAAUGACACAAACUCGAGUAGAUCCAAUCUCGGGGGUCUAACUCAAACUGAUGUCAAUCUCUGGCGUGACGUGAGUUAGUAGCUCUAAUGGCUCCAUCAUCUGAAUAAAGGGUUCUGAUGUUUCCAUCACCAAUCCUAGCCCCUUGCCUUCGGAAGGUCCCAAGAUGCUGAGGAAGGUCCCAAGAUCUCCGUACGCUGAGGAAGGCCAUCUUGUGUGCUGCCUCUAAUUUUGUUUCAUUUUUUUCUGUUACGAGACUAUGUCUUUGUUAUGUUAAUAUAAAUAAAAACAAGGUCUAUAAGGAUGGAUUACUUGCAUAGUUGCAUGCCCCCCUCUACAUAUGUGGAUUUUUUUCAAUACAAAUACAAUGAUUCAUAUGCAACCCAAAUCCUAUUUUUCUACAAAUGCAAUGUUGUAUGAGUGUCUGGCCUUCUGAAUACAUAGAGAGAGUCACAUUGUUGAUGAGUUUUUUUUUUUUUUUGGUAGAAGCGGGCUACUCAUUUCAUAUAAAUUCUUUUCUUUUUCUUUUAUAGUCUUUUGAUGAACCGGACCCCCAACCCAGCCUGAAUGAUCCGUUGGGUCAAAAAUUAUAGCCGUGGACCUGAUCUGACACGAUCUAAUUUUUUAGUAGGUUGAGUUUGGAUCUAAAAUUAGAACCUAAAUAAAGAACCAAAUUGGGUUAGGAUCGUUCAUAAUCCGGUCUGACCCGACCCAUUUGCACCCCUAGGUGACAUAAACUUAUCUUCCUAUAAAUAUAACUCUCAUUAAAAGAGUAAAAAAAAGAACAACAUCUGCCAACAAUCUUGAAUGGUAUUAGAGCGAUCCAGCCCAUAGCCUAUGUGGACUAGAAGAUACUGCAGUAUAGAUCCAUUAGGGCUGACCACGAGCCAAUCGUGGUGUUUGUGAUUAGAUUUGAAUGAAUUUGAACCCUUAGCCUAACGAGGACGUUAGGGCUUGAACGGAGGAGUAUGUGAGGACCCAUGCGGGCGUGUGUUUAGUCCCACAUCGGUUAUUCGCUGGAUAGAUCUUGGGUACUUAUAUAGGAUCAAAAAACCUAAAUAACAACUUCCGACUAGCCAUUUUGGGUGAGGUCAUGGGUUAUUACACUUCUUCAAUUUGUGAAUGAAAAAUUCCCACAAACGAUUUUAACAGACCAAGAUCUUGCACUCAGAGAGGAUAUAUCAAUAGAGUUGCCAAGUACAAAGCAUGCAUUUUGCAUUUGGCACAUAGUAGCAAAGCUGCCAACUUGGUUCUCUUUUAUUUUAGGUGGGCGAUAUAAUGAUUUCAAGACUGAGUUCUAUAUGCUGUAUCAUUUGAAGAGUAUUGAAUAUUUUGAAAAGCAAUGGCAUAACUGGACGUUCAAUUUAUAGUUCUCUUUUAUUGUAUAUUUCAGCUCCCAUUUCAAUUGUUGCAUAAUGAUUAGACAAAAUCAUCUCGUUUUGUAGCAAUUCAAAAGCAUAAGGGAUGAAAAUAUUGGAGGCAUGUUCUUCCAUUGGCAUGGAUGUUUUUAUGCUGGGAUUGAGAUNNNNNNNNNNNNNNNNNNNNNNNNNNNNNNNNNNNNNNNNNNNNNNNNNNNNNNNNNNNNNNNNNNNNNNNNNNNNNNNNNNNNNNNNNNNNNNNNNNNNNNNNNNNNNNNNNNNNNNNNNNNNNNNNNNNNNNNNNNNNNNNNNNNNNNUUCUCAAUCCCAGCAUAAAAACAUCCAUGCCAAUGGAAGAACAUGCCUCCAAUAUUUUCAUCCCUUAUGCUUUUGAAUUGUUACAAAACGAGAUGAUUUUGUCUAAUCAUUAUGCAACAAUUGAAAUGGGAGCUAAAAUAUACACAGUAGGACAUUGUAUGAAGAAUGAUGGGGGGUGUUUCGUGACUUGGGAUCAAAUAAAUGAGGAAAUUCAUUGCAGCUGCAAAGAAUUUGAGUUCUCAGGUAUUUUGUGCAGACAUGCUAUAAGAGUUACUCUCCAUAAAAAACUACUUUCAUCUCUCAGAGAAGUAUCAUCCAAUACGAUGGAGACGUAAAAGCUCAGUAAUAUUGAAAUUCAGUCAUAUCAUAAGAAAGAGAGAUGACAACUUGGAGCAAGCAUUUCAAUCUCAUGUUGCAACUUUGCAUUUAGAGUCUUCCAAGUCCAAAGGGCGUGCACGAUGUACUAAUAAAGAGUUGCCUUAUUAGAGGCAUGCCAAUAGGCGAUGAUUUAAUAUUGGAAUUUGAAAGUUGCCCAGUAGAGUCAUUAAAUCAUGAUGAUUGUCAGCCCAUUCGAAAUCUAGAACCAUCCAAAACUAAGGCAUGUCCGAACGGGAAAAGACUAGUUGGAGGAGUUGAACUUGCUAAGAAACCAAGGAGAUGUCAUGUACCGAAUUGUGGUGGAACAAACAAUGAUUCAAGGAAUUGCCCAAACAAAAAAAAGGCCUAUUGAAGAAUCCAUUGUCAAUUCUCCCAUCAAGUAAGUAUUUUUAGUCUUUUUUAUAAACUUAUAAUUACUUGAUGCACAUCCAUAUUAAAAAAAAAAUUGUCUUCUUAUUCUUGUAUGUUAAUAAUGCUUUUAGGACACAGAUGGGCCAGAAACGAGAAAAUGAACUAUCUCAAAAAUAAUUGUUGCAGCUUUUGUUUUGAUAUUUGAGAGAUUGCAUAGUAGAUAUAUGUGGUUCUUGGAGCAGACGAUGGACAGAACUCGUGUUUGCAUAUUCAAGCGUCAAUCAUGUUUGCAUAUUCUUUGUGUGGAAUUAUUCCAUUUGAUGCCGAUGGUUAGAAAGGUUGUAUAAAUGCAUUUCUAGAAUCUUUAAACAAUUUGUGGUAUCAAAGGUUUUAUUGAAAAUAUUCUUGUAUAUUGAUGCCUUACUACUUUAUCGUCAGAGAGAGAGAGAAUAUUAAUUGAGGAUUGAGAGGAUGAAUUAAUAUGAGAUUAUAAAAAAACAUAAAAUAUUUUUAAAAAUUAUAAAAAAUAAAAAUAUUUUUUGUUUAAUGAAAAUAGAUUAAUUGAUAACGUACUAGAGUAGCUAUAAUUUCUUGAGUGAGAGACAGAGAUCGAUGGGUGUGGGAUAUGAAAGCAGAGAGCGGCCAAAAAAACAAAAAAUCUAAAAAGAAGAAGAAGGCCGGGGAUAUGGAAGCAGAGAAGGACCAAAAAAAAAAAAAAAAUCUAAAAAGAAGGCCCGGGAUAUGAAAGCAGAGAGCGACCCAAAAAAAAAAGAAAAAAUCUAAAAAGAAGGCCCGUUCCAGAACCAGCUAAAACAAUUAUUUUGCCCGUGCCUUCUAUGAACAAGUCCCCGUUUCCGAGGAUGCCUUGCGUCCGUAUCCUUGACGUGUCCCGCGUCCCGCUCCCUCCAGGUCCUUAUCCUCCUCAGGGGGACACCGUGCCGCCCUCCUUCUUUGAUACCUACUGGAUCUCCUACCCCCCGAUCCAACGGCUCUUCCUUUACCUCGACGCCGCCCUCCCCUUCGCCUCCAUCGUCGACUCCCUUAAGUCCUCUCUCUCCCGAACCCUCCCCCUCUUCCACCCCUUCGGCGGUAACCUCACCUACCUCCCCGCCUCCGGCGACGCCGUAAUCGACUGCUCCGCCUCCGCCGCCGACGGCGCCGCCUUCCUCGUGGCCGAGUCGGAGCUCGACCUCCGCCGCCUCGCCGAGGACGAGACCCACGACCUUGAGUCUUUCCUCCAGCUCGUACCGGACCUCGGCGGCGUCCGGGAGCUGCCGGCGCCGGUGCUCGCCGUCCAGGGGACGGAGUUCGCCGGCGGAGGGAUGGCGGUGGGGCUGGCCGCUCACCACGCGGUGACGGACGGGAAGGGGAUCUGGCGGUUCGUGGAGUCGUGGGCAGCGGCGUGCAGAGGGCGCGGGGAUCCGCCGGGCCCCACGCCGCGGCAUGAUCGGGCCGCUAUUAGACACCCGACCGGCGACGAGGUCGCCGGGCUGUUCUUGAGACGGAUGGCGCCCGCGCUACCCAAGGUGAGUCAGAAAAAUAGAUGAUAACUGGAAAUUUCCACAAACACUUGUCACAAAGUAUCCAUCAUCACGAGGAGCUCACAAAGUUGGAGAGUGCGCGGAUUUGGAGCAACCCGAUUUUAGAACUGAACUAUGGUUUUUAUAUAUAAUCUAAAUCUAUCCAUGCCAAUUUUGAAUUUGCUUAUCAUGGUUUGAUUACAAGUUGGCUAGUUAAAAUAUGUAGUGGGACCAUGAGUGUGGCAUUAAAAUGACUCCUCCGUCGCCCGCUCCCUCUUCUUUUUCUUCCCCUCAUCCCCGCAGGCAACGGUUUGCUGCCCUCGAGCGAAAAGGUCCUUCACUCUCGCCCCCGCUUACAUCCAAUCCCUGAAGCAACGAGCCGUCCGUCAAAGCACAGACAUCAGCCACUCCCCCAUCCCGACCCCUUCCACGUGCGUGGCCAUCUCCGCCCACGUCUGGCUCUGCAUCGCCCGCGCCAAAGCCCUCGCCGGCGACGCGGCCACCACCCUCCUCUUGGCUGCCGACUGCCGCGCGCGCUUCGACCCGCCCCUCGACGAGGCCUACGCCGGGAACUGCAUCCGCGCGUGCUCCGCGCCUCCGCGGAGGCCGCGGCGUCGGAGCUCUUGGCGCCCGGCGGGCUCGCUUGGGCGUGCGAGAGGAUCGGGCGGGCUAUCCUGGCGGCCGUUUGGGAGCCGCUGAGGGAGUGCGAGGGGUGGGUGGGUUUGCCGCAGGGGAGGUCGGUGAUCGUAGUGGGCUCGCCGAGGUUCCGGGUCUACGAGACGGACUUCGGGUGGGGAAGGCUGGCGAGGGUGGAGCUGGUGUCGAUGAACCACGACGGGGAGGUGGUGCUGGUCGACGGCAGGGAGGAGGGGGAGGUGCAGGCAUCGGUGGCGCUCCCGGCGCGACAUAUGGAGGCGUUUGCCGAGCUGUUUGUGGGUGGUUUGGAUGGAUAGGCUUGGUGGCGAGGGAAAUGGAACUGCAACUUCGCAACCGAAAUAAGCCAUCAGAUGUGGAUUGUGGAAACGGUAUUUGAUCCAUGGCCGCGACCACUCUCUAAAUUAUUUUUACAUUAACUUUUAAUAUUUUUUUUCUCCACAACGAAAGCUUCGAUCUACUUGAGAUAGGGAUGAUAAGAUAUGUGAGCACCCUGUUGCAAUUAGGCCGGUAAAGUGGUUGAAUCCCUCGCGUCCAUUUAAUUGUCGGCAGGGUUGCAACUUGGAUUGGCACAACCCUAACUUGCCCAACUGUCUUAUUAGAUUGGGCGGUAUUAUAAACUUGGGAUGGGCCUGGGCUGAAAAACCCUAACACAAUCUCCAAUAGGGUUAUGAUAAAUAAAAAAAGAAGAAAGUUUUAGGAUUAAUCCCAACCCAACCCAACAUAAUUUGACUUAACCUAACCCAAACUAAUAUAUGAAGAAAUAAAAAUUUUCUUAUCUAUAUUGCAUAGAGAUUACCUUUAUGUUUGUAUAAGUUGUCUUUAAUCUUAUUAGAACAUUUUUAAGUGUAUACUUCAAAUUUAUAGAUGAUUCAGGCCUUAAUUCAAUAAAUAUUAAUUUAAUAAAAAUAUUUCAUAACUUUUCCAUCUUAAAGUUUCUAUAUAGCACGAGUUAGUUUAAUUAACAAGACAUAUGCCAACGCAACUCAGCUAACCUAACCUAUGUUUAGUUUAUAAAUUACAAUGGGGGUGGGUUGGGUUGGGUUGGGUUAGUGAAAUUCCAACCUGAGACUAGGUUGGUGUUUUCUUAUCCUGCGAGGGUCAGGCCCCAUGACUCCUAUGGCGGUGCUCUCGACGACAUUUAAACGGUGAAUUGUCCCACACCUACUACGCCAAGGUGAUGGGGUUGGAGAUCAGUGUGAGUUCAAGAGGUUACCACUAGGGAGGGUAGCAUACCUGUCCGCAUUGUUGAGGUUCUAAUUCUACAAGAGGACUUUAGAUGGGGGGGAUGCUGGGAAGAGUGGUGCUAGCGUCGAUAAACUACAAUGAGGAGAUUGAUCUGGUCAAAGAGAAGAAAGAUUUUUUUUAAUUUGCUCAAGUCGAAUUUCUUAAAAAAAUUAGAAAAAGAUAAAAAAAAUAAAGUAGUGUUUAAGUCUCCUUUUCUUUCAUCGAUGAUAAUAAAAUCAGGGUAUAUUGCUCUAUUUAUAAUGGUGAGGUCCGCACUUACACAAUUUGGAUAAAAUUUCUUUUCUAAGUCUAAUAAACUCACCUCUGUAAAGUAAACAUGACUAGUAGAAAUAAACUUAAAAAAGUAAAAAUUAUAUAGAAGAUAAAUCUCAACUUCUACGCUAACUUUAUUUUCUAUCAUUCCAAUUUUUCUCGAACUAGGAAAUAUGCCUGGUCAAAGUUUUUUCUAAAAAAAUAAUUGGUUUGAUCGGUCUAUUUCAGAGCUCAAAUGAUGAAAUUUGGAUCUGAUCGCUAUAGACAUAGCCUCUCUUAAGGGGUGGAGCCAUAUUGUAGAUUGCAAAAAGUUAUAUGACUCCAAAAGAAGAUCAUCUCAAUCGAACAUCGUAUGAUCAAGUUAUAACCUCUAAAAAUUUGGUUUGCGGCUCGGCUUCCUAAUAUAAAUAUGGUGGAUCUCGCUUCUGAAUCUUAUUCAAUCCUAUCUAUAGUGGCCAAAGUAGUUCAUAUUGAGUCUAAUGAUUCUAUUCGAUCAGAGGCGUGCUGGAUAUGCAGGUCGUCGUAACGGAGGAGGGAGAGGGGGUGCACCUUUUGUACCACAAUAUAUUGCGUCAUGCUAGAUUGCUGUCACACUAUCCAUUUUGGAGACAGACGGCUGCCACUCGUUGUGGAAAUCCAAGUGGCCAUAUCUGUUGCCAUACAUGGCACAUGCUAUGGACAAGCGACAACCAUUCAUCUUAAAAAUGGAUGAUGUAAUAGCUAUCUAUGGUAAGAGAUAAAAGGUGCAUCAUGGUGGAUUUUGAGUUUUGAUGUAGCAUAGGAACAUCAGGCUGGCAGCAUUGUUAGUCCUAUAAAUUGCAGGCAGUUGCAUUUACAGUGGCUUCAAUUAUGAAUGUAGGUCUGCUAAAAUUUAUGUUCUCGACUAUGUCACUAGUCUUCGCUUUGGCUUGAAAUAGAAAGAACUUUCCAAAAGUUUUACUAUGUAAAUUUUCCUAAGAUAUCUAAUGUACUUCAACUGAGGCACCCAGAAGGUCCAACCAUGACAACCAAUGACGCUAGAAAGCAGGAACUAUUUUAUAGUUGUGUUAUCCUCGCUCCCAACUUAUUCAUAUCAAUAAUAAUAAUGAUUUAAACAAGAUUUUUUAAAAAAAUAAAAUUUUGUUUAAAUUAUCGAAUGGUAAAAAAUGUCAAAUAAUAACUAUUCAACUCCUUCUGCAAUGAGAUUAUACUUAAAUAACAAUUAAUAUCUAAACAAUUAUUAUAUAUGUCUUAGUUUGUUUUAUGCUUACGUAAUGCACAGUCUCAGUAACCGUCUUGACACAGCUGACAUUUUAUAUUGCAUUUUUAUACGCAACUAGAUCUAUUUUUAUAUAAUUAUAUAUGUUUUCCAAACAUUUAAACAUGAAUAUAUUAUAUAUAAGUAAAAUGGGGGAUUAAACAUAGAACUAUCAAGAUCAAGCCUCUCUUCUUUCUUUUUUUUCUUUUGAACUUAUGAAAAGGGAGGGGGCAUGAAGUCAAACAAUAAGGGGUGGCUUUUGGAUUUGGUUUCCGAUUGUGGAUAACAGGAUAAGGAACAAACCUCCCAAAGAUCCACUCUCACACUUCGCAAUGCGCUGCUACGCUCGUCCUCUGGCGGAGACCCCAUGACUCUCCUCUUCCCGCCGCUCUCUCACUCCACCUUUACUCCGCCCAAACCCCAUGUCUCCUCCUCUUUGCCCCCUCGCGCAAUCCCUUCCGCCUCCCCCUCCACCGUGAGUACCCAGCCAGGCGCCAUCAUCGUCGGCGCCGGCCUCGCCGGCCUCGCGGCCGCAACUCACCUCGCCGCUUCCUCCGUCCCCUUCCUCCUCCUCGAGGCCUCCGACGCCGUCGGCGGUCGCGUCCACACCGACUCCCUCGACGGCUUCCUCCUCGACCGCGGCUUCCAGAUCUUCCUCACCGCCUACCCAGAGGCCCGCCGCCUCCUCGACUACCCCUCCCUUCACCUCCGCCCCUUCUACCCCGGCGCCCUAGUCUACCACGCCCGCCGCUUCCAUCGCGUCGCCGAUCCCUUCCGCCGCCCCCUCCACGCCCUCGCCUCCCUCCCCAACCCCAUCGGUUCCCUCCCCGACAAGCUCCUCGUCGGCCUCGCCCGCCUCCGAGCCGCCUCCCUCCCCGACUCCGUCAUCCUCUCCGCCCCCGAGUCCCCUAUCUCCGACCGCCUCCGCGCCGCUGGCUUUUCCUCAGCCAUCGUGGACCGCUUCUUUCGGCCCUUCCUCGCCGGCAUCUUCUUCGACCCCAACCUCGCCACCACCUCCCGCCUAUUCGACUUCGUCUUCAAGUGCCUCGCCCUCGGCGACAACGCCCUCCCUGCCGCUGGCAUCUCCGCCAUCCCUGCCCAGCUCGCCGCCCGCCUUCCCCCGGGUUCCCUCCGCCUCCGCUCCCGCGUCGUCGCCGUCGACGCAGGCGGCGGCGCCGCCCGCCAGCCGUCCGUCACCCUCGAGGAAGGCGACGCGAUCGCCGCCGAUCUUGGGGUAAUUGUCGCCGUCGAGCAACCGGAGGCCGAGAAGCUUCUCCCCCAAGCCUUCCCCGGAGAAGAGAAGAAACCGAAGCCGGUUCGAAGCACGGUCUGCCUUUACUUCUCCGCCGACCGGGCUCCGGUCCAGGAGCCGAUACUCAUCCUGAACGGUUCGGGCGAGGGGAUCGUGAACAACAUGUUCUUCGCCACCAAUGUGACGCCGUCCUACGCGCCCGUGGGGAAGGUUCUGGCAUCCGUGUCGCUGAUCGGGGCGUUUCCGGAGCGGUCGGAUGAGGAUCUGACGGCGGAGGUGGUCCGGGAGCUGACCGGGUGGUUCGGGUCGGAGGUCGGGUCGUGGAGGCACCUGAGGACGUACCGGAUCGAGUUCGCCCAGCCGGACCAGACCCCGCCCACGAAUUUGGUUGGCAAGGAGCCGCGGGUUGGGGAAGGGGUUUACGUUUGCGGGGACCACCGAACCUCGGCGACUUUCGAUGGGGCGCUGGUGUCUGGGAGGAGGGCGGCGGAAGCCUUGAUCAGAGAUAGGGGGUUGUCCAAGAUGUAAUUUUGGCCGUCUGAUGACUGAUCAGUCUAUUUUUCAGUUUUUUAAGCAUAACACGGUAUUUGAAAUCCCUGUCUUUGUUUUUUUGGGUACAACGGCUGCUCAUCGUAUUCUAGUGUAUGACCGGCCAACAGAAUCAAAGACUAGGACCCCCCUCAGACGUGAGAGAGGGGUCCCUCGGUGUGGCCAAAGUACCUCUCCAGUAUGCUGCGCAGCGUAGAAUGCAAACCAAUCCGCGGUUUUGUUCGCCUUCCGGUAUACAUACGCUAUUUGGAAGGCGCUGCAAUUUCUCAGCAUCAGCCUGAUAUCACAAAGCAGAGGAUUGCCUUCCUCUUCCAUCCCUCCUUUCGUAUCUAAUCGAUCAUUGUGGCUGAGUCUCUCUCUAGAAUGAUGUGCUCGGCCCCCAACCUCCGUCUAGCAUAGAAAACUCCCUCCCAAGCUGCUCUGAGCUCCCCUCCGAUAGCUGAAACCCUAUCUUUGUUCAAGUAUGCCAUUCAUGAUCUCUUGACGUAUACCCGUAGCUUGAAAUGGGGAAGGGAUGUUGGGAAGGAGGUUUACGAGCUCAUAGCUUGGAAAGCAGUCUCAUGAGGCUACCAGCAUCCCAACUUUGCCUAACCGACCCUGAUGCAAAUCACACCCACCUUUACCUCCAAAAUAAACAGAUAGGUGCUGAUGCGGCCAAAAUCAAGUUUGCUUAGCACAAGUUAACUUAACAUAUAUGGCAUAGUAAAAAUCUAUUUCAGUUAUACUUAUAUUCUUAGGCGGAUUCAAAUUAAAAAAAUCAAGAAAUAGUUUUACAUUCUAUUAGAUAAGAACUUACUAUCUAUAAAAAGAAACAGUGCUAUUUUUUUUUUUUUUCUUAUAGUUACCUAAAAUUCUAGAUCUUUCGAUCAGAUCACCUUCAACAACCUCCUUUACUCUUCUUUCUUUAUGAGUCAUUGUUUCCUUAUGUGUCAUCCGUGGGAAAUGAAAAUUUAUAUCACCGCCCACGACAGUCUUCCUCUUUUGCUGGAGCUUCAGCAACGGACUCACCGUUGGCACUUCUGCGAGUUCCUGUAUGGUCGACUUCUUUUCUGCGGCCGUAUCUCUGAGCACCACCUUCUCUCCACAUGGGACGCAUGUCCUGAAAGACCGUGAUGUGUCUCUAGCUCAAGGAUUGCCCUUUCAUACUGCCUAUGAUGUGAUAGCAUGCGCACGAGACGCGUGACGAUCUUUGGACCCUUCGUCUCCACAGCCACUGCAGUGUCCACUACCAUUGUUGCCACAUUGUCCCCGGACAGCACCUCACUGACGACCCCAAGGGUCGCGCCUUCAUGAUCGCUGCAGCCGAGAAGCAAGAGCUCGUGCCGACAGUAGCCAAGUUAAUUAAAGCCCGUUUCCAUCCCGAAGGCCAAGCACGAUGGCCACCGCCGAAAGGUUAUCACUGUUGUCGUCCCCACCACACUCGACCCUUUCGUGACAGGUGUGGCAAGCACUCCAGCCGCAAUAGGAAAUCUCAGCUCUGCGACCGUGAGCGGUAGAAGAAGCUCAAGGCCUUCCAUCUAAGAACCACUGCCUCUAAGAAGAGGAGCAUUGAGUUAAGCGAGACGAAGCGCUGCUUAUAAUCCUUCGAUUGUGAGGACUCUAAUGACACCUCUGAUAUUGUCGACGCUUGCCACAAAGUGGAGGUGCCAAUCCUCUUCAACUGAGGCCUCCUUACCGACAUUGACCGCUGGGACCAGAAGAAGCACUGUGGUUCGGUUGAGCAAGAGAAAAUGAAGGAGGAAGAGGAAAAGGGGCAAAACCCCUAGCUACCUUAGGUGGUAGCUCCCUCGGCCAAGCAGGAAGCAAGAGGAGGUGAGGACUCACCGGGGUGUGGCGGAGGUAGGGGAUCUCGUGACGACAACAGCUUCCGAUGAGAAGAGGUGGAUCUCGAGACAGGGGCAGUGGGACAACCAAAAAUCUAGAGAGAGAAGAGAAUUCGGGGGCGGUGGAGCUCGAUUGUAGUGGCACGUCAGUCGCAGAGGUGAGGAAGAAGAAGGGAGGGGCUCGGUGGUGAACCAUCGCCAGAGAUGAGGGAAAUUUAAAUGAACGUUUUUAGAAAGGAUAAGCUCGAUGUACUACGAAUCUAGUGGCAGUUAGGAGCGGUCCAAACGGUCGAGCAGUUGCUCCUUGCCAGACUCCUAGAGUCCCCAUCGACCAUAAUUAUGGUGGCCUUAUCGACUCAACCGGAAGGGGAGAACAGAGGACCACGAUCACAUCCUUUGUUUCAACACCAUAAAUAUGUUGGGCCUAUCGACUUCAGUCCAAUAUGGACUUAAUUAGGCCUAGUUUUACAACUACAACCAAGAUGUGGUGAAGGUGGUGAUGCUAGCAAUAGUGACGACAAUAAUUAUGAUGAAAGUGCUAGCCCUAUGGUGAAAGUGUCGACAAUAGCAUCAACUAUGGCAACAAUUGGUUGUGGUGCUAAUAUAGUAGUGGUAAUGAUAAAAAUAUAAUUUUUUAUUUUAAACAUAAUAAAGUAUUUUUAAAAUAAUAAAAUAAGUUUAAAAAAUAGAGAAUUAAAAUAGUAGCAGCAAAUUUUUUUUUCGACUUUUAUAAUUUACUAAAAAAUAAAAAAAUAAAAGCGAUAUCAAACAUGGAGUUUCACGAUCUAUGCGUUGUCCAAGAAUCAAAGCCAUUUGGCGGCGUUCGUCGGGCACACAACAGGUACUCAUCCCACGUGGCGGUGACCCGGGACAUGAAACUUUCUAGAUCCCUAUAUAUACUACAAAUCCUCACUUGCCCCAUGAGGCGUGUAUUAUUUUUGUGCGAGUCACCGGCUCCUCGUAAGCUCGUUGGUGAAACCGUCAAUUCGUCACGUGCACCUUGGUUGCGGUGGGCAAUUCCCCUUCUACCGUCCGGCAAACCGGGCCAAGACCCUCCAAACCAACCGGUAAGAGCGUCAUGGCUCGUGCCCCACGGACCGCGGCUAUUAGGACUAGAACCGACACCCAACCCCUGCGCUUCUCCCCCGCGGUGCAGAUGGGCUCGAUAGAGGGAGCGAAGGCGGAGAACGGCGUGGCCGCACCCGCCUGCAACGGUGGCGACCAGCGGAACGGAGGAGGUGGAGGGGCCUUGCCGGACGGCGAGGCGGAGGCUGGGAGGAGGGGAAAGGUCGGGGCGGCGGCGGCGGUGCUCCCGCUGGAGGUGGGCACAAGGGUGAUGUGCCGGUGGAGGGACCAGAAGCUCCACCCCGUCAAGGUCAUCGAGCGGCGGAAGAUUCCCAACGCCGGCCCCAACGACUACGAGUACUACGUCCACUACACCGAAUGUGAGUUUAUCCAUCUUCUUUCUCUCCUUUCAAUUAGGGCUUGGGCUAGGGUUAGGGUUAGGGUGAGGGUUUGUAAUUCACGUGGAUAUUGGGUUAGAAAAAGUAACGUAUUGGAAAUUUAGGGUUUUGGAUAGCACCAUCAAGAAUUUUUUCUUUGGAAAAAGGUUGAGAAACUGUGAGUGCUGCCAUGGCGUUUGGUGGAGGACAAUUACUUCGAUUCAGGUUGUCUUACUUGAAGUCCAUGAAAACAUUAACAAUUAAUUAUCUAUGAAUUUUUAGAGGCGUGGCUUAGGAGAUCUUUCUGGUAUUUGUUGUUAAUAAUUGAGCAACACAAUAAGUGAUUUUUAAUAUAAUAUAUGGUGUCAUUAUGGCCUUAUUCUUUUUGGGUUGUAAAAUUUGAUGUCAAAGUUCGCACGGGUUUGUAUGAAAAAUUAAAGACGUUCAUAUAUAUCUUCUGAUGAUGUGAAAUAAUGCUAAAAGGAAAGUCUUGAUUUUGUAAUAUAGGACUAAACUAUGAUUGAUGGAAUCAUAUAGAUGGACUAGAAUAGGCCUAAAAGAAAAUUUGAUAUAAAGAAACUAUAUUGAAUGAGAUUAAUAAUUUAAUCCAUGCUUGUCCUCAAGUAGCACUUGAAAUCAUUAUUUCUUGAUCAGAUGGACUGAUGAUAAAGCAUUUGAUUUUAAUACCUGACUCUAGGAAUGCCUUUUUUCGGUUGGCCUCUCCCAAGUUAUUGCUUUCAAUUGGGUUCAACAAAUCAGAGCUUGACAUACGGGGUCCUGGACUUGGUGUUUUAGUUGAAAAUCAGAGGGGAAAGUAAAAAAAAAAAAGAAGAAAACUUGUGGGAUGCUAUUUGAGAGUGCCUUUAUCAACAUUACCUAGACACUUGGUUUUGUACCAAUAAAUAGAAGUUUAAACUCCCACUCUUUUAGUUGUCUACCAUAUCUUUCCACUGCUGUAUCCAUGCCUUGCUUGCAUAGUCUUCUAGUCUUUAGCAGCACUGAUGAUAUGUACUAGGAAAUUACUAUAUGAUACAAAAACAUGAGUUCCCUUUAGAAAUAAUCCUCUGUAUUCUUGAUAUUAAUUGAGCUUAUUAUUCAGGUAAACCUUCAUUUGUUGUUACACUUGCAACAGUGAGGAAAUUUAUAGUAAAGAGUAUAGCAUCUCAACCCACUAUGUAGCUCAGGUGGUGUCUGUAUAAGGGCAAUAUCUUAUACUUCGCUUAAAACCCUUCAAUGUAUAGAUUGCUUAGAAAUACAUGUCCGACAAGAGAAGCUUACAAUGAAGGUUUUUAUUGAGGGGAAGAGUGCUCGGUUGUGCAGUCUACUUCAUUGUGAGAUGCAGGAUGGUAAUUAGAGCUUAGUGAGAAGGGUUCUGAGAUUGUUAUGAGAUAAGCAACCAUGUGUUUCUGAACUAGUGAUGUUGGUUUGGGGGUGCUGCUGAGCCUAUCAGGCUGAGGAAGGUCAUUCUUCCACUCGCUCGUCUGGAGUCCUCCCUAAAAAGAGGGCUGUAUUGGGGUCUUGCUGAUAACCUCUUUGAUCCAAAGAACAGUGUUGGAUUUUAUGGGGAAAUUCAGAAUAACUAGACAUGUAUCGGGGUGUUAGGUAGUUCACUACUUUUUUAUUGGAUAUUGCUUUUAAUCACCUCAUUUGAAAUGGUUUAAUGUGGUUUUGAGAAGAGAUGGAUCAUCUUUAGGAAAUUAGGCUAUCUUCUGCUUGCUGUUCUAUUAGUGUAGAGUCUUAAAUUGAUACGAUUUGAGUUGGAAGCAUGGUAUGCUGUACCGAUCGGUACCGGAUGUACCGUAUCCAUACCGAUGGGUACCGGUAUCGGCACGCCAAUGUCGGUAUGCCUGAUGUACCACAUCCCGUACCGUACCGACACUUGGUAUGCCUGUACUAGUGCGGCACCGGUACGGGGUUCGGUACCGGUACGGCGAACCUUGGUUGGAAGUGUUCGUGGCCUUCCACAUUUUGGAUGAAAAUUUCUUAAGAUUCUGGUAUUGUCCCAUGGAGUCCUGUAUAAGAACUACUACUGUCAGCACCAGGUGCACUACAUAAUUGCAUGGCAUUUAGAUGUUUGUUGUAUGCUAGAAUUAAUUUUUAGCAUCAAUAUUUAUAUUUGCUAUGUUGCAAUGGUUAUGCAUAACAUAAUUCUGUUUUACAGUCAACAGGAGGCUUGAUGAGUGGGUUAAACUCGAACAACUUGAUCUUGAUACAGUGGAGGCUGACAUUGAUGAGAAGGUGGAAGAUAAGGUAUUGCAGUACAUGAGUUCUGCUUUUACUAAAUUUCAGGAUUGUUGCAUUAAGGGGCCAAAAUGAUGACUGUGAUAAAAUAGACAAUUCUGUCUGUUGGUGCUGUUUGAUACAAUUCGGAUCAGUUUUUUAGAAUGCUUUCUUUUUCUAGUACAUCAUGUUUUGUGUUUGUCCCUAACAUAGUGUUACUUGAAUUAUGAAUCCCUCCGCUAAAUAUUUAUUAAUGCUGUAGUUUUUCCCUGAAAAAAUAGUCUGAGACUUACCUAUGAUCCUUUGUGAUCUUUAUCAGGCAACGAGCUUGAAAAUGACCCGUCAUCAGAAACGGAAGAUUGAUGAGACACAUGUGGAGGUAUUUUAUAAGUUGAAUUGUGAUUAAAGUUACUUUAUGCAAUCAUACAAUCAUCUCUCUCUCUCUCCCUCUCUGUGUAAUUCAUAUAUAUGGCUGGUCUUCACUCUUUCCUAGUACCAGUACAUUAAUCUUGAUUAUUAGUGUCUUGUGAACUUGUAUCUCUGUAACUCGGUAUCCCUUUCUCAAUAUCGCAAUAGAGUUUUGCUAAAGUGUAACAGUUGUAGAUUCUACUAGAUGUUGACAAUGCUUGUUCUAAUCUCAUAUUGAACUUUCCAAGUCUCUCAGUUAAAAACAUCUUGCAAUUAUGGCUACAACAAAGUUGAUAUUAUGAUUAUGGAACAUCAGCUGAUCACAAUAUUGCAAAGAUUGAGCACUAUAGCAUUUGAAUAUAAAAGCCAGCAAUAUUAUUGACAUGGUGCAAUAAUCACUUGCUGCUCAUCAUUUACCUAUUUUCUUUCUCGUGUGAGAAAUUGCUAAUAUCAUGGGCAGGUGUCUAUCAGAUAGGAAAAAAUAAUUUAGUUAUGUGUUACAGAAGAGGGAAAGAUGAUGAUGUUGUUUUCAAAGGCUGAGUUAUUAAAUGAAAAACAUGAUAAUCUUCCUUUUUUUGCUUACCCAAAAAAGAGGCUAAUCUUCCUUUUUGUUGUUAAAUCUUAUAUUGAAUGUGUCUGCAUAUAUGAAACACAUGAAUUGCUUGGAUAUAUGAAACACAUGGAGAUAAUCACGUACCCUUCUACUUCUGCAUUUUGUGAUCAUGUUAUUGCAAUUGAACUCACUACUAACACCUCUUCCAUCUUCCAAUUUUUCCUUUCUUCAGAAGGGUCAUGAGGAGCUUGAUGCUGCUAGUUUGCGGGAACAUGAGGAGUUCACGAAAGUGAAAAACAUAGCAAAAAUAGAACUUGGUAGAUAUGAGAUUGAUACAUGGUAUUUCUCCCCUUUUCCGCCAGAAUACAAUGACUCUUCAAAGCUGUACUUUUGUGAAUUUUGCCUCAAUUUUAUGAAGCGCAAAGAACAGCUUCAGAGGCAUAUGGUGAGCUGCAUCUGAAUUCUUCUAGCCGGACUCUGUUAACAAAUUGAGUGGUCAUGGAAUGUGUCCUAGUAUCUGAAGUUCAUUGUUAUCUGCUCAGUCAUAUAUUUCCCCCCUUCUUGAAACUAUUUCUGCUGUUAAUCUCAUUGCAUAUAAACUGAUCUUGGUCAAUAUAUGUUCUACCAGUUGUAUACUUGCAUAUGGCAUGUACCUCUCUUAGGACCAGUAUGAUCAUAGUAUAAAAGUUCUUCACUUUGCAUCUGCAAAAAGUUUUUUAUUUUAAUUUAAGUACUAUAUUUUAGGUGAUAUACUCCUUUUCUUCCCCUCCUCUUUCCCUCUCCCUAGCAGGUUAAACUAUGGUAGUAUUUUACAUGCCUGUGAAUAUACGUAGAGUCCGCAGAGUUUAAUAUACAUGUAAAAGGAUUGAGAAUGAUUGAUGGAGAUUUUCAUAAUUAUAAUAUUAACUUUGAGAAUCAUAAAUUUAAUGUGUGAAAUAGGAGUUUGCUCCACUAUUUAUUGUCCAAACAUCUUAAUCAGCAUUUAUGUGUUUUAUGAUAAGCUACAAAAUGAAUUCAAGCAUGUGUUCUACAAUGCUAAAGGUGAUGAUCAAAUAUCUGCCUCUCUAAUUAAUAGUGGUUACAACACUCACCUAAUUGUUGAAAUGAGCCAGAAUACUUGGUAUUGCACUUAAAUUUAGUCCUUGACAUAUUGGUUGCUUAUAUUCUUGUUGGUAAUUGCAUGUUGCAUAAUUGACUUUGUAAAAUUAGGCUGUUAAUGGGGUCAAAGGGCCAACUAUUAGAGAUACUGGAGAGUGUGUUUCCAUUGGAUUUUCGUGCAAAUCCAGUUCUCAUUUACCAAUAUCAGAUAAGGAUGAAGGUAGAAUUUUUAAUUUAUUGGGUUCUUUAUGGCAAGUUAUGCUUGCUUUGCCAUUUCGUGUUUUGUCAUUUGAUAAAGCUUAUGUUUUAUAUAACCUGGUUUGGGAGAAAAUGGUGAAAUCUUAAACCAAGUUCAAACUGAAGACCAAAGGAGUACAUGGAGUACAAAGACAUAACAUUAUGAAUGGAAUGCUUCUUGACUUUGCUAUGGUAGUAUGAUAUAUGAUGUCGUAGCAAAGACAUACAUUAAUAAAUUUGAUAAAUAAUGACAUUACAGAAUGCAAAACUUACUGUAAAUUAUUUACUUUGUGGAAGAGCAAAAGGCAUGUAUGGAUUGCAAGGUAAUCUUAGAACAAAUUUGACCAUGAAGCUAAAAGCAUUGAGGGAAUGAUUAGACAUCUUAUUAUGAAUGGUAAUUCAACGAUUACUAAAGAAGGGGGAGUGAGAUCAGGAGCAAUAAUACUCAACAAAUUACUAAAGAAGGGGGAGUGACGUCAGGAGCAACAAUAGAUGUGAUUAGAAGUGCAAAUGGGCCAAGUGGCCCAAGCAGAACCAAGUGUUAGGCUGCUCAGUCUCGGCUGUUUAUAUGAAAGGGCCAAUCAAGCUUGACCUGAGCUAGAGCAGUGCUUAGUAGGCCUUCAUGCUUGGCUUGUUGGGGGUCUGAGGUGAGCUUGAAGGAGCUUCUUUCUUUCUAAGCCAGGCUCCUCCUUUCUUUUUUUGGUGCAAGCCUUGAGUUUUCAGGCUUGGCUUGUUUUGAGCUUGGCUUGUUUCGUAGCUGAGCUGAGCCCACAUGAGCAUCUAACAAAGACUAUUCGGAGCUGUUCAUGAACAGCUUGCUUCAUUUGCAUCCCUAGGGAUGAUGUAGUUAUGAAUGGCUGAAAUAGGAUGGUCGCGUAGUUCAAGUUUUUACAAGUAGAAGAUGUAAGCACUUGGAAUCAUGCAUGGAACUAAGGAGGAAUACGAAAAAAUGAUUAUGUAUGGCAAAAUAUUAGAUUUGAUGCUAUAGGAUCUAGUAAAGCAUAAUGCGCUUAAAAAAAUUCUCAGCUAGCUAAGCCUUAGGGCUAGCAUAGAAAAAAUCUUGGACUUUGCAAGAUGAGGAAAAGGAAAUACAGGAGAUUAAAUUAGAUGGGAUUAUUGGAGUAUUUGUAACAGAUGAUUAGAUAAUGCAUAUAUGUAGAGUAAGCACAGAGUUAGGGGAAAUCAUAGAGUUGUUCUACUCAUUGUUCAAAAUAAGCUUAUUGAAGGCUUGCCUUGCCGGGCUUUAAUGGAUGCAUUUGAAGCAUAACAUGGGAGGCAUUAUAACAGAAAGCCAUAUCACAUGAGUAGACACAUGUAGGUGCAUAUGUUGUACCUUAUAUCAAAUAUGAAAGUCAUAGAUGUGCUCUUAUGUUACUUCAAAAAUAAGUGAUGGAGUUUAUUUAGAAAAUAUACAUGAGCCAUUUCAUGUAAAUGCUACUGUACACGGCACAUUUAAGAUUUCUGCACAUUUGGCAUGUGGAAGUGUGACCCUUGCCAAACAAUAAUUGAGUCUAAGUAUAUACAGGGACGGCCCAAUACAUUUGGAGGCCUAAGGCGGAUUCAGUGAAUGAGGCCUUUUUUUUUAAAUAAUAAUUUUUUUUAAUAAGUAUAAAAUACUUAAAAAAAAGAUAUGAAAAUAGAUAGCUUUCAAGUACAUUAUUUCAACAAAGAUACAUGAAUGCAACAAAGACAGACAAAAAGCCUCUUCAGUUUAAUAUAUUUUUUGAAUGGAAGCAUGGAAAAGUAAUUACGCUUAAGAAAGGGCCUACGAAACUCAUUAAAUAACUGAGAUAAUGCUUGGCAGUACUGUUUACCAUGUCAAGCAAGAGCAGAAUAGGAAAAGGUUAUCCCAUGGCACUUCAUGGUCAAGGUAAAGGAAAGAAUUUGUCCAGAAAGGGACCUCUCUAUAAGAGAAAGUAGGGGC